rnacentral:lncRNA from 1 species
UCUUGGAUUUUGUAAAAUGAAUUUAUUGGAUCACGCACUAUGCUUGUGAUUUUUGAUUGGGAUUCAUAUGGAAAAUUUUUGUUGGCCCUUUUUUAACCCAAAAAAAAAAAGCCACUGUUGAAAUGGUAAAUCUAUGUGCUCUUAUCGCUCUCGUAUCUUUUAGAGAGAGAGAGUCUUCUCUUCACUUUUUGUUUCUGGUUUUAACCAGAUCUGUUUAUAUCUUCGCUUUUGCGAUUCAAUAAUUCCAGCUGAGUGCUGGACUUUUGCUACCGGCUCAAUCCGGUUCUCUCUCGCUUAUAGGGAGCUUCGAUCUCUUUCCAUUUGGUCUCCUCUCAUCGAUAUCUCCGCUUUCUUCAAAACUCUCUCCGUUUUUCUCCAAUCAUUCGAGGAUUAAUAUCUUCGUCACUCUCCUUUUGCUCAAGAGUAUGAGCAAAGAAGGAUCAAAGUCUACAUCAAGUUGGGUGUAGCGGUGGUGGAGCUUCCCCGGUGUUGGCGUUUUCCGGAGCAAUUUUGAAGUGUUCUUCAUAUAAAUCCGGCAGAUUUCGGUGCUAUUCUUCAGUUGGAUUGCAGAUCGGCAGAAGGGAGAAGGAUAUCCAUCGCUCCAUGACUGAUUGGCGGUGGCUGAUCGGAAUUCGGCGGUGUCCGGCGAAUUUGACGGUGGUGCUUGAAAUCUUGACACGUGGCUUGGAGAAGAACACGUCUUCUACACGUGUCGUCCGAUAAAACAUAAUUUGCUUUUAAUUUUAUCUGUUUUUUCAAUUAUGUUUAUGUUGGGCCGUCAAAUUUCGUUUGUAUCCUUAAUGGGUUUUACCCCUUCUGUAACUGCCCUUUAGGCUUUAUGAAACUAAAUCUUUGGCCGACAAAAAAAAAAUGGUAAAUCUAUGUGUACCUAGUAGUAGUAAAUAAACCAGAAAAGAGAGACAAUUAUACAGUUAUUGUGCAUUAAACUGUUUACAGGCCUAUCCUGUCUUUCUCUGUAUACCAAGUUCUUAAUUUAAGCUAAUAAGAAAACAACAUUGAUAUAUUUAUAUAUAUAUCUCUCUCUCCAACUUCUGAUACCUCCAACCGUAAUAGGAAGCAACACUUCCAUUAAGCUUUCCAAAGCAUCUUCUUUAAAGAGCAAGUCUUCUCCUUGAAUUUGUAUCCCGCACGCAGCUCUUAUGCCAGAUUCUUCCUUUAAAAGCUUAUAACUUUUUCGGCGAUAGACUUUACCUUUCAAAAGGAUCUCCCGCCUCAACAGGAUAUUCAGGUGCAGCUACAGCUGCAUCGAUCUUCUCCCUUAGAUUGAAUUUCUUGGCGAUCAUUGGCCUUACAUCUUCAACUCCAAUUAAGCUUUCAAGAAAUGGGAGCAAGUGAAGGAGUUCUUUAUCUGACGGGUCAUUAAACCAGCUCUCUAUUGGAACCCCAUUCUCCACUUGGAAACCAAAUGCCUAAAACAUUGCACAAAAAGAAAAACACCAAUGAGAUAAUGCAAUAGCCUUGAGAUAGAGCUUAGAGGAUUUUUAAUGGCGGUUCUGGAAUCUACUUCUUUAAUCAAUCCCACACAACUUCAUAUUUAUAGAUAGCUAUUGCAAACUAAAAACUUCUAAUGGAUUCGCCCAUACAACCUUUCAUAGAUUACAGUUUUCCUAUACUACAACUGUAUCCUACAAUUCUAGCUGAUAAAUGCAUCUAUCGAUUGGCUUUGGUAUAAAGCAUAAGAAUGGAGAACUAAAUGUGUUUACUCAUUAAGUAGAAGGAUGAUAAGAGUAUAGUACCUGUGGGGAGUUGUCAACAAUGAUAACACGAGAUAAAUCACGCCCAAGGACUGACAAAUCCUUUAGGUAGUUACCAUCAAAGAAAACACAGGAGUCACGGUACACUCUAUGGCGAAAGAGCUUUCUCUUAGGGUCAAGUACGUUCAGAAGUUGCUCGGCAUAAAUGCUUUGGCUAGCUGUAAAUAUAAUGAUCUCAAAAAGACGGGAAACUCUCUCCAUAAACUCUUUGAGGUGAGGACGGCACCGCACAUACACCAUAUGCUCUUCUUCAUUAAAAUUUACAGGGAAUGUGAAAUCCACCUCACCACACGGUUCUAGAGUCGAGUGCACAAGAGUUUCUGCGAAUAAAAAACAUAUAAUGUUAUAGUGAUAACAGAUAAACCAAACACAAAAGGCUCUUGUGGAUCAUAAAAUUACUUCGAAAACAAAUCUUGCAUUGGAUUUCACUUAAGCAGAAAUGGACAAACAAAUAAAACUUUACGCCCUAAAUUUCUGCCCACAUGUCAUCUAUGAUUACAUCAAGUCUACAUACAAUGAUACAAUAUUGGUGAGGAAGAGGAAGACUAAUAUUUGUGUUCCAGUAAAACUUGCAAAGAGAGAUACUAUAUCAACCAAACGAAUCAACUGAAAAGUAGCCUUACCAUCAAGGUCUAGGACUAGAGAAAUAGGAGGACAGCUUCGGGUUUGUUUAGGAAGCAAGACCGGCCUGAAAGUUGGGACAACAGAAGACAAGUUCGGCAAGUUCUUAAUAAACAGAUAAGGAUCAAACUCAUCGAGUUCCUCAUCCUCUUCAUCAUCCAUGCAUACCGAAGUUAUAAGGGAAUCUUGGCCACGCUCGUCAACACAUUCCAGCUUCGAGCUCUUCAUCGCUAGAUAAAUGGCAGAAACCGAAUCCAAGUUACAAUUUGAAUCUACGGUACUUGUAUCUAGAGCAAGCAAUCGAUCAUAAGGGUUCUGUGCAUCCAAAUCCCGGGAAGAAGGAGAGUCAUCGUCUUCCAUUAAAAGCCUAUUAAAAUCAACUUGUAAUCGAAUUAGACAAUAGAACUCAGAGCCUAAUGCAAUUACUCCACAAUUUCAAUUUGACCCAUUUUUCACAUUCAUGUUUAAUACACAAUGCUCAAGAACUACACAUCUACAAGUACAAGCUAGAGUUCACCUCAGGAAACCAAAUUCAAACUUUUCAUGAACCUCAUAGAUACCAACCAGAAUCAAUGAUUUUACCUUGUAGAAACUCUCUUUCACCCCUGUAGCUACCGACAGAGCCCAGACGCCUGAGAUAAAUCAGAUCCUGAGAGCCGUCAAAUUGCAAACACUAGCUCAUACACAAGGAUACACUAAUCUGAGAAAGAAAACAGAUCUCGGAUUAGAAAGGGAGCGAAGCCCUAGAUAAUUCACAAGUAGGAACCAAAACAAAAAGUACCCAGAUUUGAAAGGUAAAAACUUUGGAGCCAAAAGAAGCAAAAUUCGAAAACUUUCAAUCGCGGAAAGUGACAGAAAUCAAUAUUUUAACAAGAGAACCGAACCGGAACUGAUCCCACGAAAUCGAUUUCAGAUAAUUGAUAUGUCUAGUCUAGGGAUUUUAAUACGAAAAAAGGGGGGAAAAAAGACAGCUAGAAAAAUCAAAGCUUUGACUGAGGAAACGAUGGAUAAAUCGGAUCUUUCCGCUUUCUCCACAAAUUUCUCUGCAAAUUUUCAAAAUUUCUUCAACGAAGCGCACACCCAGUUUAAACUCAAGUAGCCCAGAAAUUUGAGCUGAGAUUGAAGAGCUAAGAAGAAGAAACGGAGAUGGAAGGAGAAAAUUAAAAAAAAAAAACCCUAGAGAGAGUAUAUUCGUCGGAAAAAAGUACCUCCGAUCAAAACCGCUUUCUUCUAUCUUCCGUCUUCUUCUCUCUCUCUCUUCGAAAUAAAGAGUAAAAUAUUUGCUCGAAAUAAAUGAGAGACGACUACAGUCUACAUAAGCAAUGAAAUAUUUCAUUUAAAUGCCCUCAUACUUUAUAUAUAUUUCAUUAGUAACUGCUAUAGUUUUAGUUUGUUGAAACAAACCCCAAACAUUCGGAAAGUAUUAGACCAUCUCCAUCAAAGGUUUCUUGAUGGAUUUUGAAAUGAAUGACGUGUUUGGUGUUAUUGUUGAUAAAUAAGGUCCAACCCAACACAAAGGAAGUGAAAGCAUCAAACAUGUUAAGCCUAUUCAAGCAUGGCACAAUCCAUGAAUUAGAAGGGACAAUUGGCUUAAAAGAACACUGGUAUGUAUACGUUUUUAAUUUGAGUUUUAGAAUGCAUGUUUGCAAUUUGUCAAUACAGAUGAUUGUUUCAUCUUCUUCCCCAUCUUUCUCUUAUAAUCUGUCAAUAAAUUCAUUCUCAUUGAGCUUUAUCUCAUGUUAGUCCCACUUAUUUGUUUUUGUUUCAUACAUUGCUAUCAAUGUGGGUUACUUACUUACUAGUAAGAGCUCCAACAACAAAUUAAGGAUAUAAUUUUGAAAUUUUUAACUUCAACAACACUAACCAAAAAAGAUAGUUAAUUAAACAACCUAUGAGCCGCUAAAUAAACCAACUAUCUACUAUGUUGUUUAGUGAGUGAACUCACUCCCGCCAAGCUUUGAAAAGUUUUACAUAUAUGAAAAAGUUGGUUUCUGGAAACAUGUGGUGGAUAUAACAACAUAUUAGAAACAUAAGGGGUUAGAUUGCAAAUAAAACAGAAAAUAAACAAAACGGCGACAUUUUAGAGCGGUCCUCGUCAACUACGACAACAUUAGAGAUCGGUGGGAUCGUCGUCGUCGUACCCGUCAGACUCAAUGAAAAAAGAGAUUCCGCCGCACGUUGUUCAAAUCGAAAAAAAGCGACUCGCAAUAAAUCUGUCUUCCCUUUUUUUUUCUUAACCUGGAAGAAGAUUUAUCAAUCAGACACAACAGAGAAAACUGAUUUAUUCAUUUCAACAAAAAAAAAACAAAACUUUUAAAGUCUUCACCUUUAUAGAGAGAUUUUUAAUGGUGUGGUUGACGAAUCAACAGAUCGGGAGAUGGAAAAGGAAACGAAUUUUGGUUGUGGGAUCGUUCCUCUGUUGGUUAAUCAUCAUGUUCAUUACUCCCAAAGUUCCUCUCGAUUCCUUUCGUCAUCAUAUCUUCGCCGAUAAACGCAAUUUCAUGGGUAUCAUCAUCAUAUCACUCUCUCUUUUUUUUGAGUGUGUGUUUCUCUCUCUAUCUCUCUGUGCAUGUGUAAUAAUGAGAGACAGGUGUUUUGUGUGGGUUUGAUGAUGAUGAACAGGAGUGCCUAAUACAUUGAAUGUGAUGACCAACUUUCCCUUUCUUAUUAUUGGUGUUCUUGGUUUUGUUCUUUGCAUUGGAGGAAGCUUCUUCAACAUAAGGUUAUUUAAUUUUCUUCUCUUUUAGUAUUUUUGAAUUAGUGUUAACAAUCUGAUUUGUUGUAAUGCAGUUUAAAAGGUGAGAUCUGGGGAUGGACACUGUUCUACGCAGGCAUUGCAAGCUUGGCCUUUGGUUCUGCCUUUUACCAUCUUAAACCUGAUGACAACAGAAUCGUCUGGGACACUUUGCCUGUUCGUUUUCUCACUUUACUUUUUCUUGGGAACAUUGCUUCUUGAUUAGUGAUGCGGUAAUUGUAGAUAUUGACAAGCACAUUGUGAAUAGAAAAAGUUGAAGAAUCAGCUUAUAGCUAUGGAAAGAAGCUUAGAUGAGUCUUCAUGUUUGCACAUAGUUUUCUUGGAUUGGUUGGUUCUACAAGCACAUAGUGAACACAACUCAUCAACAAUCGUUUUAUAGCUAAUGGGAAUAAGCUUUAGAGAUUUUUGGGUCUAGAGUCUUGGUUUUUGGUUUUACCGAAUGAAAAGUUGUUUUUGCUCAUCAUGUUUAAUGGUUGGUUAUGAAUAGCUGUUUCUUGAUUAUGACUGUAAAAUUGCAGAUAUUGAUUGCGUAUUCGUCGCUUUUCUCUAGUUUUUUGGUUGAGAGAGCGGGGGAGAUAGUGGGACUAAGUUGCCUCAUCGUGCUUCUAUUCAUAUCGUUGUUCAGCGUUGCUUACGCCAGGUAACAUUAAAACCAAGAAAGCAUUACCUCCUCUGUAUACAUAUUUUCAUGGUUCUAGUCAGGUUUCGGAUUGAAAUUAUAUGCGUUUUAGUUGAUGGCAGAGUGUUUAAUGAUCUCCGGUUAUGCAUGACGUUCCAGUUGAUUCCAUGUCUGGCGAUUCCCGUCAUGACGGUUUUGUUACCUCCCAAAUAUUCUCACUCUAGAUUUUGGCUCUGGGCAACAGGUUUUUACUCAAAACCACUUUUGCGGUUUUCUUAUUAGAACCCACGAUCUUCUGAUAUCUGAUUAUCAUGAAUGCAGCGGCGUACACUAUUGCCAGGAUUGAGGGGCUUGCAGACAGCAAAAUAUACAAUGCAAAUCGAUAUAUCAUCAGUGGGCAUUCACUGGAGCAUUUGUGUUCAGCCGCGGCUACACUUUUACUUACCAUUAUGCUUUGUUGUAGAAGCAUUCGGUUAAAUAGGUAACUUUUUGUCACUCUCUCUUUUGAUCUUUGAGUUCCUUGAAACCUGAGAGGAUUUUUCAAUUUUCUUUUGUGUGAUGAAACUAAAACAGAUUAGGUGAUCUCAAAGGCCAUCCUUGACAUUCAUUACUGACUCCUCAAGGCUUCUUUUGUAUUCAGAUGCUUAUGGAUUCUUGUAAUACAGAUUUUGUAGGGUUGUUAAAUAGAUUUUUGACCCAUGAUCCCACUAAAACAUUGUUGGUUCGGUGUAAUCUUGGUUUCUGGUUUUGAAACAGCUUUGGCAUUGCUUUGGCUUUAAGUUUAAGAAGAAACCAAAAGAAUAAUCAUAACCCACAAAUUCACCUUUUAUUUUCUGUCUUGGCUUGUGACCUUUUUCUUAUUCGUAUGAUCACUUUAUUGAGGACUUUGAAUCAAAGCACAUAAUGUGGAAAUACUAAGACAGCAAUAGCAUUAUGGUCCUGAUUCCGAAUAAUCAUACAAUUCAACAAAAAUAGCAACAGUGAUGAGUAAAUCAAAGAGUUCAUAGACCUUCAAAGAAACGCAAAUGGUCGUCAAAAGUCUCAGCAUGCCUGAUCUUGGUGAUCGACCCAUCUUCUUCAACCUGCAAAAACAAGAAGAUAAAUCAAUCACUUUCUCUCGGGAUCUUGAUUCUCUGGUAAUUGCCGCAAAAAACAAUAAAAAGAAAGAGUAUUGGUACCCAGUAUUCCGGAGGUCGCAUCUUGAGAUUGUAAGUGGAAGCCAUACUCAUACAGUAUGCACCAGCGUCAUGAACCACCAAACAAGCUCCCUGUAAUGAAUACAAUAAACUCAUUUGAUUCCACAUUUACUUGAGCUGCCAAAUGUAAUCAGAUCCUUAUUAUACCUGCGGAGGAGUAGGAAGCUCUCUGUCUUUUCCCAAGAAAUCAGCAGAUUCACAAACAGGACCCACUACGUCGAAUUUGGAAACCUCUGCUUCAGGCGGUGUAGGAGAGACCAACUCAAUAUGCUUUUGUGUUAAGAAACAAGAACAAGAAGAUGUUUAGCUAUAGCUCAAAGGGGCUAGAAUCUGCAGAUGCUGUUGUGAGAAGUAUAUUUGUUUUACCUGAUAGGCAUCAUAAAGACUGGGACGGAUAAGCUCAGCCAUACUUCCAUCAAUCACUAUGAAGUUUUUAGUUCCAUUUGUCUUCACACCAGUUACAUGGUUGACGAAACAACAUGUGUUUGCAAUCAGCGAUCUCCCUGGCUCGAUUAUUAGAUUCAGGUCUCGCGAAAGAACAAGCUCUCUUACCUGAAACACAUCCAGUAUUGUAAAGAUUCUACCAAUUCCAGUACUUUUGAGAUCAAGAUGAAAAAAAGAGUUUAGAGAUGUUGUUCUUACGGUGUUGAUGAGAUCCAUGGGUGUAGGAAGGACAGCGCCAGCAUGAUAAUAAUCUAUCCCUAAACCACCACCAAUGUUCAAGUAGCUAACCUCAAAGCCUUGACGCCGGAUUUCAUCAAUGUAUUCAAUCAUGAGAACCGCAGCAUCUCUGAAUAUAUCCACCUGAAUUAGGAAAAAUAUUUAGAGCUCAAGAGUUGAGAUUUUAGAGAUAGGGCAAACCCAAACAUGGGAAACAUGAACAGAGAGAAAUCCAUAUUCAUCUCACUACAUCAAAACACAACUUAAAAGCAACUAUAGUCGGAAUUACCUUUGUAAUGGUAGAGCCAAGAUGGCAAUGAGCUCCAACAAGCUUCAGCUCUUUGGGAUGUGCCUUCACUUCAUCCAGAAACCAUUGAAGUUUCUCAUUUCUAAUACCAAACUUCGAGUUCUUGUUCCCAGUAGCUACAUAUGGAUGCACCUGAAAAAUGUAAUCAAACAGAAAAAGCUCAUUCAAAUCCAAUCUGUGCAGAACAAUGAUACUAAAGCAUUUGAAAAUUAAACUACCUGAGGAUCGACAUCAGGAUUGAUACGCAGCAGUACAUUGACCUGCUUACCAGAAAUUCUUGAAGCUUCCACAAUGUUAUUCAAGUCAAACUCACUAUCAACAUUUACGAAAACACCUUCUUGAGCAGCUAGAACUAAAUCUUCCAACAACUUCCCAUUUCCAUUGAAAAUGCACCUAUUCAUUUUAACAGACAUGGUCAACAACUAUCAUAUCACCAUUAGACCAAAUCAAUCUUCUCAUAUUUUGCUUCCAUCAGGAAUGUUCAAACUUUAUUAUUGGGGAUAAAGAAUCUUACUUUGUGGGAUCGAAACCAGCACGAAGAGCAAGCCUAAGCUCAUUUCCACUAACCAACACAGCACCACAGCCCAAACUCCUCAAAUGCUCCAAAAUCUUAAGAUUGUUAUUAGCUUUAAUAGCGUAACCAAUAACAGAUCUCACUCCUUCCAAAGCCUCUUUAUACGCCUCAAGGUUUCUCGUGAUCUGAGGUUUGCUAUAUAAGUAAAAGGGUCUUCUCUCGACUGACUCCAUGAUAUCUUGAACCUUAGUUCCUUCGCAAUAGAGAAACCCAUCUGAUGAUUUCUUGAAACAGUGGUCGAAAGAGGAAGCAGAUUCCUUCGUGAGGGUUUUGGUGGAGUUUUGGGAGUUUUGGGAUACGGCGGAUUUGACGGAGAGGCGUUUAAGUGGCUUCAAUGUGGACUUGAGAGACAAAAUUGGGAUUCUUGAGAGUGAGGUUUGGUUCAAUUGGUAUUGAUUUAGGGUUCCGCGGAUAGAUGAAGGUUGGGAGAGAAAUUGAGUAGCUGCGGCCAUGGCUGGAGGAUUUUUUGUGAGGUGUGUUGGAGUGCGACUGUUACAGUUACACUGAAGGGUUUAGAAAUAAAGUCAACGAGUCCUGUCGGGUCCGGUUUUGGAUAUCCGACAAUAUCGAACCGGUGGUUAUAUUGUCGAACCGGUGGUUAAAGAAGAAGAAACAAAGUCGAUUUUAACUUUUUUGGGUAAACGAUCUCUAUUUCUCCUAGAAACUUUCAUAUAGCAUCAGUUCCACCCAGAUUUUGGUCCUCGUUCUAUUUCUACACAAACUAAAAGUUCUAAACCUAUUUGAACACAAAAUUAAACUUCGAAACUUAUUUACACACAAAUUCAUAGUCCAAAACCAAAUUACACAUAAACAAUGGUUAGUGUCGGUUUACUGUUUACCAAUCUAUCUUUAACCAUCUAAACCUGAAACUAAACCGAUUACAAUUAAAUAAAUAAAUUAAUUAAUUGAAAAAAAAACUCAUUGCUUGUCUUUCACGAACUCAACGCCUUCUCCAACCCAACACCACCGCCUGUUCUCCGGCUACUCCUCAUCGGAGUCAAAUGCCUCCAACACUUAUAGUAAAUUUGAUUUCAUACAACACAGAUCUGUGGUGGAGGAGAUCGCCGGUGUCGCUCUUGCUCCCUAGAUUCAGUUUUGACGGAGGUCGUCUCGUGUUCCAGCGGCGUUGAUUCUCAACAUCUUUGUCGACCAUGUUGAGCUAUGUCUCUCCCUACCGCUCUUGUGAUUUGGCGCCGGUGAUGGUGGUGAUAUUAUCGCCCUAAUUAGCAUGGGAUUUAUGAUUCCAUUCGUUUAUAGCUUACUCGAUUACAUUUCUCAGGAAUAAACCUUAUGGCUUUUCAUUCAAUUUUUCGGUUGCUCAGAUGGAAACCGUAUUAUGAGUCAUUGGAUCUGUAAUUAGUUCAAAGUAUGAACCUUUGACUCAAUUUUGUAAUUCAUUGUUGCUUUACGUGAUAGAAGUUAUCUUAAGUGAUAGUUCCAAAUAAGUGGAAGGAUAAUGCUCGCAAUGUCACGAAUUCUGUGAAACAUUAUCGAUGGUUUUUUAGUAUUUUCAGAAAAAUAUGCAAUUAUGAGGGGAAGAAGACAAAUAGAGGAGAUGCAAGUGCAUCGUUUUUAAUUUCUUUGUUUUGAUUAUUGAAACCGCUUAGGAGAUUUGACAUAAGUGGUUUAAUAUCGGUUUGUUGUUGGUUUUAAGUGGUUUUAUAUCGGUUUUAGAUUGUAAACCGAUAAAACUAAUAUAUAUGUGUAAAUAAGUUUCGAAGUUUAAUUUUGUGUUCAAAUAGAUUUAGAACUUUUAUUUUGUGUGGAAAUAGAACGACCACAAAAAUCUAGGUGGAACUGAUACUAUAUGGAAAUUCCUAGGGAGAAAUAGAUCGUUUAUCCAACUUCUUUUGCAUAUAUGGGUUUUGGCCUUUUGGGCCUUUGGGGAAUAGUUUCUUCUGCUCGUGUUUGUUCGGUUGCGGUAGUUGUGUGUUGUAAUAAUCUUGAUGCAUUAGGGGUCACUUGUCUCAAUCGUCUUGGAAAUCUAGCCCUAUCUAUACAUUGUUUUGAAUGAUAACGAUGAAGUGCUCUGUCUAGCCGUGCACAUGUGGAGACUCAAAACCCAAUUUAACAUUGUUUGUGCACAACUCAAUGUAAAGAGAGAACAAUCGACCCAAAAAAAAAAAAGGUAUAGAGAGAACAACGAAGUUGUACUAUGUAGAGGAGUCAACAAAAACAAAAACAAGGAAAAGACAACUACUACUGUAUGUCUGUAUAUGGCAAGUUUGAUGAUCAAUUGUUCAUAGCUAUGUAACUUAAAGCCGGAAAAAAAAAUCAAUUUUAAAACAAAACAUUUUUGAAUGAAAAUUGUAAAAAAGCCUUUUAAAUUCCCAUAUACAAUUUUUUUUUUAUAAAUAUUAGAAACUUGUAUGAUAAAUUUACAUAACGAUGCAAAAACAAGUUGAAUUUGUGGAAUCGCUAACGAUCCAUGACAGGAUCCAAAAUCCGAAUAGUUUCACAUCGUUUUGUAAAUUUAUUACCCAAAUUUCUAUUAUUUGAAAAUUUUAAAACUAAAAAAUUGUGAAUAAAAUUUUUUAAAACCCAUGGAAAAAAAAACUGAAAUAUUUUCUUAAAAAUAUAGAACCUUGUUUGAUAAAUUUACAUAACGAUGCGAAAACAAGUUGAAUUUGUAGAAUCACUAACGAUCAAUGACAGGAUCCAAAAUCCGGUUAGUUUCAAUUCGUCUUGUAAAUUUAUCAUACAAAUUUCUAUUAUUUAAGCUAAAAAAAAUAGUUUUAAAAUUUUUAAAAAAGAUCAAUGAAAAGUUGUAAAAAAAAAAAAAACUUUAAAAUCCGUAACAAUAUUAACUAAAUUCAUAAUCUUUCAAAAGCUUUUAGAGUUUUUAGCAUAUAAAAUUUUUUAAUUUAUUAAUUUUAUAAAUAUAUUUUUAAAAAACAGAAAAAAAAGAGGGGGGGCUGAAAUUGACCUUGCUUGUAUGGGCCGAAAAUUGUUGUUUUUGGACUGCACAACGUACAUCUCUAAUUUUCACCACAGUCACCGGCAAACGGCAAACGAAUCCCGAUCCAUCCACUGAUCCACCUCAUCAAUCUUGCCUCUCUUCUCCAGUCAUCUCCGACGACGAUGUAGCACCCACCUCUUCGGUAUUCUUCGCAGAGUUUUCUUAGAAACCACAGUCCAUCCGUCACGACGAACCGACGGAGAAGAGAGGAUCAUCGCACAUUCAUCUACGAUCUCGCUUUGAGUGAUUGUAAACGAAGAGCUCAUCCUCUAUCACGCUCGUUUCUUAUUGGCGAAAAGAAAGCAACGACAAAUCAAGCGUUGGAGCCAAAGAUUGAAAUAAUAGAAGCAAGGAAGUAUGAAUGGAAGAAGAGAAUGCUAAAAAAAUUCAGAGUGCAAUUUUCUCACUCUAUAAAUCUGUCUUUCUCUGGUUUGUGAUGAUUAAAACGAUUUGACAUUGAGAAACUAUAUUUGUAGACACAUCUUCUGUGUAAUUUCCUUUUUUUCAAAUCUCAGUAUAGUUUCCUUUUUUUCAAAUCGCAGUGUAAUUUCCUUUUUUCACAUGUGUUUGGGAAUUGGGAUUCAAGUUUCCUUUUUAUUUUUACUCUUCUGUUAUUUCCUUUUUUCACUUUCGUUUGGGAAAGUCCAGAGCAAAAGGUUCGGUGAAUAUUUUCCUUUUUUGACACGUUUGCUCACAACUAUUACAAAGAGCAAGGAAUGUUCUUAGUUAGGGUUUGUUAUAUUUGGCAACCAUUGUUUCGGGUUAUCUAACUAACAUUGUGCUCUGCCUCCUUUGUAAUUUUGGAUCCUGUUACACAAGGACCCUUUCUUGGAUUGGGUUUGCUUACAACUUUGCUUCUCUCAUCAUACUAUAUCCAUCUCUAUAAUCCCUGACUAUGUAAUUGUAUAUAGCGGAGCUGACGUGGUCCUGAAAACCUGCAGCCGCCAUGUGAAUUCCGCAGUGGCCAGGAAUCGAACCCACGUGGCGGUACCCCCAACUGGAGGUCCUUUACCACUAGGAGACAACUCCUAGUUGUAUAUAUAUAUUUAGCUGUUUGACAAGUGACAAUGUAACUUUUGGUUCAAAGUAAUAAAAGUAAGACGUUAGAAACAAACUUUACCAUAUGUUAUUGGGGUAUAUAGACAGACUUUAUGGUUUGGUGAAGUAGGCUCAAUCUUUUCCCCUUUAUGUUUCCAUCGUUGAUGUUUAUGUUACUAUGUACCUUGCUGGUUGGAACCACUUGUGAUUUCCGACAAUGCUACUCUGUAAUGCAGUUAUCUUUUAAUGAAACGUGAUCGAUCUUGAGUGUUUUAUUUAGUUUUAAAAGAUUUUAUGGUGUGUGGACACUUGACGGGUGAUAAUUGGUAACUAUACUUAGUUAGAGAGCUAUUGAAUUAUUAAUCACGCUUAAUCUUGGGAAUUGAGAGCUCGGAAACAAAGGUUAUUAACAAAAGUUAAAGCAGCAUUGCCGAUGAAAUAAUAAUUGACUUGGGAUUUACUCUCUGAACCAAAUGGAGAUUAUUCUAAUUAUAUUUUUAAUUUCGGAUCCCUAAUCUAUUACUCCAAUAUCUGCACUCAUUUAAUUCUUUUCUCUUUUUUUAACCUGCACCACUGACUUAAAUUCAAACUUAUUCAAUUGCGUGCACUCUUUUAUUUUAUUUUAAGUGAACUGCUACCACUAUCACUAUGUGUCGGUGGAUUAUUAUUUCCGUCAUUUUGAUAUUUAAUUACAUCUUUAACUCAUUCUAACUCAUUUUAACUCACUAUGUGUUACUCUAACCCAUUCUUCUUCAUUAGAUUUGUGGAUAACUGGAUACUCAUUAACAAUCAUGAUAACACUUUAUUUUUCCUUUCCAUUUACUCUAUUUUGAAAUACUAAAACUUGAAAAAAUUUGUGUGAGUUUUUUCAUAUUGAGUUAAACGAAGCUAAUGUAAAAGCGGAUUAUCUGGCACAAAAAAUUCGUAAAGAACCGUUUCAUAUCACAUUUGUAAACAACAUUCUCCAGAAAUACCUCUAUUGAAUCCUAAUUAAUUUUGGAUGACAAAAAGAAAGAGUUAAAAGAAGUUACUAUCGAGUUAAAAUUUGUGUGAGUUUUUUCAUAUUGAGUUAAACGAAGCUAAUGUAAAAGCGGAUUAUCUGACACGAAAAAAUCGUCCAAAACCGUUUCAUAUCACAUUUGUAAACAACAUUCUCUAGAAAUAGCUCUUUUGAAUCCUAAUUAAUUUCGGAUGACAACAAAAAAAAUGAGUUAAAAGAAGUUAUUAAAACCAAAAAAUUGGAGACGAAAAAAAAUAUCGACAACACAGCUUAGUAAUAUUCGUUAAAAAGAUACUCCUACUACACAUGUGUAAAUUGUUUUUUCAGAAAUAAAUUUGUAUAAAUUGGGGCCCCUUUGUAAAUAAACCUAUCUACAUUUAAUUAUUUUACCACCCAAUAAAGAUUCCACAGACUUGGCAUGGAAGUCAUGAACAUUCACAAAAUCUAAGAAAAACUGAAAACCGAAAAUAAAUAAAUAAACUCAAAAAUUAAUAAAAAAAAUAAAAUUUAAAGCUAUUAAGAUUCCACAAAAACUCUGUAUUGUCUCUCUCUUUCUCUCACUAUCUCUCUCUCUUUCUUGAGCUCAGAUCUGACCAGAGAAAGAAACAAUCGGAGAAGAAGAAGAAGAUGACUGACCGAGUCUUCCCAGCUUCCAAACCACCAACCGCCACUAAUGGAGCUCCACCAGGUGGUUCCAUACCUCCUCCUCCGGCUCCGGCAACAGUAACCAGCAACGGAACAGCCAAUGGAAUGGCAAAUCAGAAACCUCAAGUCUAUAUUCCGGCUAACCGUCCGAUUUACCGUCCACAGCCUUACAGUCGCCGUCAUCAUCACCAAUCUCGACCAAGCUGCCGACGAAUUUGCUGCUGUUGCUGUUUCUGGUCGAUUCUGAUAAUUCUGAUCUUAGCUCUCAUGACAGCAAUCGCCGCCACCGCGAUGUACGUGAUCUACCACCCUCGUCCGCCGUCGUUCUCCGUCCCGUCGCUACGAAUCAGCCGCGUAAAUCUAACGACCGCCUCUGAUUCCUCCGUCUCUCAUCUCUCUUCCUUCUUCAACUUCACUUUACUCUCAGAGAAUCCAAAUCAACACCUCACUUUCUCAUACGAUCCUUUCACCGUCACCGUUAAAUCAGCCAAAUCCGGUACGAUGCUCGGUAACGGAACUGUUCCUGCUUUCUUCAGCGAUAACGGUAACAAGACGUCGUUUCACGGCGUGAUCGCUACGUCAACAACGGCGCGUGAGUUAGAUCCGGAUGAAGCUAAGCAUUUGAAAUCAGAUCUGACGCGCGCGCGUGUGGUAUUUGAGAUCCAGAUGAGAACUAAAGUGAAGAUGAUAAUGGGGAAGCUGAAGAGUGAAGGAGUAGAGAUCAAAGUGACAUGUGAAGGAUUUGAAGGAACUAUACCAAAAGGUAAAACUCCAAUUGUAGCAACUUCUAAAAAAUCUAAGUGUAAGUCUGAUCUAAGUGUCAAAGUCUGGAAAUGGAGUUUUUAGAGGGGAUUUGAUAUUUUCACAAUUGAAAAUCUUUUUAUUUUUAUUUUUUUCUGGAUUUUGUGAAACUUUUGGAAUGAUCCAAAAAAAAAUUUCUUCAGUUGUUAGUUAAAAAUUUUCAGAGAAGAGUCAGAGAGAGAGAGAUAAGAUAUUGUCAAGUAGAAGAAGGCCAGAGAAUUCACAGCUUCUAAAAAAAAAUACUUGGAUUUUUGUUUUUUUUUUUUUGUUUGGAACUUUCUUUGUUUGAAUUUAUAUAUACAAAUAUAAAUGUAAUACUUAUAAGGGAAUGGGAGUACUAAAAAGCUGGAGAUUGCAGUGACUGCGUUAUAGUGAGAGCAUUAAAGUGAAGAUCAUAGUAGUAAUAAAACAGAACCUUAAAAAUGCAAAAAGAUGCGUGGGGUUUAUGAAGAGACCAAUGAAGAACACAAGAGAUGUGUUAAAUGUUAGAUGUUGAACCAUCUCUUCGCAUUAUACUACACCAAUUAAGAGAAAUGUGAAUCGUCUUAAGUGCAUAUACUAUUUUUUUUUCUAGCAGUUGCAUGUAGUAUAACAUUAAUACAGAUCACUCCAUUCAUGAAUGUUAUAUGGUUUGAUAUAAACAUUAAAUUAUAUCUUGCCAAUCAGAGUCUCCAAAAAGACAAGUUUCCCGGCCAUGCUGUCCGAAAACAUGAAUAAAUGGUUCAUUUAUCUAAGAAACUUUUUUUUUUUUUAAUAACUAAUUAUUAUAAGUAAACUUUUGGAGAGGUUAUUUGUAACUGACUCUGACCAGGGAUAGACUCGUGAAAUCUUAUCCAACUAUGGACGACGACGACUUCAUGUCGGUGUGUCCAAAAAUGAGAAAAAAGGAAUCUGUCCAAGGGACAUAUGGCGUUACCCAAAAUGGCAAAGGAGAACUGCAGAAAAAAAAGUUGACAAUAGCGUAUUUGGUGCGACUCAAAAAAAAAAAAGACUUGUAAUUGAAUAUGGUAUAUGACGUAAAUAAAUAAUUUGCCAAUGCCAAUAAGUCAUCAUAUUUAAUUCAGCGCAUGACCUCCAACGUCGGCAUAUAUUUGAGUCGGUGACCGGAUAUCCAGUACAAAGUACAAACCAAAAAGAAAGACACAAAAAAAAGAAAAAAAACGGUAAAGAAGACUUGCUUACACGGACUUUACACAUUAGAAUCAUGAUAGAAGAAGACAUGCAUAGUAAAAUGUAUGAGACCUUAAAUGAUUUUUUUUUGGCAAUGCCAAUAAUUCAUAAUUUUUUUAGAAUUAACCAUGACAUGCAUAUCUCUUAGAUUUUUUAAAAAGGCCUCUAAUAUUGAAGCAAAUGAUAGAAGUUUAUGUUUAAAACCCAAGAACCAUGUAAAGGCCCAAAUAGAACCAAGUUAACCAAAAUAUCAAAAACAUUUGUAGUUUUACAUUAAAAUUAAAGCCCAACACAUGUCCUAAGCCUUUUUCACUUGUCUUCUCUGUUGGUUUUCCGACAUCAUUAACUUCGCGGGGGCAAGCGACGAACAGAAGAAAAAAAAAAGGAAAAGGAUUAUUCCGCCGUAGAAUCCCAUAUUAUCUCCCUCAUCACUUUGCUACACAAGAAUCUCAUUUUCGCUUUUCCAAAGGAAACAAGAACUAUCUAUGGCGGAGAAGCUCGAGCCGGUGAAGGUUUUGUACUGCGGAGUUUGCUCUCUACCAGCCGAAUACUGCGAAUUCGGUCCCGAUUUCGCUAGAUGUAAGCCCUGGCUCGUCGAAAACGCCCCGGAUCUCUAUCCUGAUCUCCUCAAAGGUACCUAAAAAUAAAUCAAACCCUAAUUUUACAAAGUUUCGACCAGUUCUUAGGACUCGUUUGAUUUUAGGUUUGUCAGCUUUAUGACUAGUGCCUCAAAAAAUUUCUAUUUCUUCCAAGGGCUAAGAGAUUCACACAAUCGAAAAUAUAAAGCUUUUUUGUUUUAGCUUGAUUCAUAUAUUAUGGUCUGUUCAAGGUGGUGAUUAUGUAAUGUUGGAUUGUCAAUGCUAUUGUGUAGAGUUUUCGAUUUUUUUUUUUUUUUUGUACCUUUUGCACUUUUGUUCUACAGCUUAUGACAAUGAGUUUAAUCUAAUUUUAAAAAACAUACUAAUAUUUGAUUUUGAAUAUGAAUUUUAAAUGUGUUCAGAAGCUAAUGAGAAGGCAGCAGAUAAUGUUUCUGACAAACUCCAGUCAGUGGGAAUCUCUUCAGGUGGUGCUGAUGGGGCACCAUCUUCAGCUCAGACUGGUAUGUAACCGUCUAUGUGUGUGCUUUUGCUUGUUCAUGUAAAUCCGACUGCACUUAUAGUUGCAAGUAUACUUACUCUCUCAAUACUGAUCUGAAAUGUACUUGGUGUAUGUAUUCUAUUGUAGACACCUAUUUUUUAACUGUAUAUCGCUAUGUAAAUGGUUGGAAGCAUCUGUAAUGUAUUUUUUUUCCUGGGGAUUCUGCAAUCGAACUGUUAAGCAUGGAUGAUAAAUAUUUCUAGAGUUACUGAUUGGUGUUGAUGUCUAUGUUGGAAGGAUUUGGCUUUUAGUUGAAUUUCUACUCAUUAAUCACUGGGUUUUCCAAUAUAUAUAGCAGGGACAUCCAAGAAGGAGGAAGUGAAGCGCCUACCUGGGGGAAAAGUUAAAAAGAAAGUAAGUAAUAUCGUGUAACCUUCCUUCCACCUUACUGGAAUGUCUUAAUGCAUUACCAAGUUUCCAUGGAAACAUACACUUUUCAGUUGACUCACAUAUCUGCGUUUACUUUUCCGGUUUCCACUCCUUCGUCUUUGACGUGGACCUGUUUGUCCGGUUGUCUAAUUUUCUAAUGUUUACGGAUGCUAUAUAGGAUCGACAGGAAGUUAUUAUUGAAAAGGUUGUACGCAACAAGCGCAAGUGUAUCACCAUUGUCAAAGGACUAGAACUGUUUGGUGAGUUAUUUACUUCUUUUGUGAGAUAUCUUAGUAUUCUUAUUGGCUGGAACAUACCUCAUUCUUUUAACCCUAAAAUUUUUUUCGUCAGGGAUAAAACUAAGUGACGCCUCUAAAAAGCUUGGGAAGAAGUUUGCCACUGGAGCAUCAGUUGUCAAGGUAUGUAUGUAAAGGAUGAAUUACAAAUCAAAUAUGUAUACGAAAUAGGUUUUAUGCUUAGACAGAUUAGUGAGUUUGGUUUUGUUCUAGCUGAUCUUGUUGAGCAGAGCUUAUGGUUUUUUAGAGUUUGUAACUGCUUUAGACCUGUUGAGUCUCUAAUUUUAAAAUUUGGGCUCCACAGAAAAGUAUGAAGUCUUCUUCUCUACAUAUAUGACUUUUGACCCCUUACUGCAUCUGAACCAAUUUGUUUUACCACUUUCUUCCUCUUAUGCUGAGAUUUUUCUAAUAUACUGUGUUUCAGGGACCAACUGAAAAGGAGCAAAUUGAUGUUCAAGGAGAUAUAAUCUAUGAUAUCGUUGAAUUCAUUACAGACACUUGGCCCGACGUAACAUAGCUUAUCCUUUUCUAAUUUGUUCUUGGUUCUCUCUGCAUUCGUUUGAUAACUUAUGAUUGUUGCAUUGCCAAUUUCUAGGUACCUGAAAGAUCCAUUUUCUUCAUCGAAGAUGGUAAGAAGGUUCAGGCUGGUUGAUGAUCACCUUUGUCCUCGGUUUUGGCAUGGCGGGUUCAUGUAGACGAGCUAGUUCCUGAGUUAUCCUAUGUGUUUGGAGGAUAUCGCAUCAUGAUAAUAACUUUCAACAUAACGUAUAGUUGGAUAAUCAUACUACUUUCUUAUUCGGGUUGCGAUAAUUCCAUACAUGUUUCUCCAAACAUUUCUCUUUUUGGGUGUCUUAAUAUUUAAAAUGCGUCUUGAAAUGAAUGCGUUCUUCGUUCUUGACCGCAUGAUCAGCUUUGUAAGACCAAAUAUACUCUCAUCGGCCAAACCAGUGAUCUCGUGUGUCUUAUAAGCCAAUAGUUUAGGGCAGCUAGAUUCAAAAGUUGAUGCUAAACCAGGCCUAAGAAACCAAGUGAAACCUUUAUGAUCGAUUUUGUGUUGAGACAUUUAACCAGACUGUAUCCUAACAACAAGAUUUUAUACAGCAAAAGAUCAUUCUGGUUUCUACUUGUGUUUAACUGAUUUCAAACCGUUUAUUAUCACACCUGCGACAAUAAAUAACUCAGCUAAGCUGUUUAAAUUCGCGAUGUAAUAGGAACAACUGAUCUCAUAGAGUCUUGGUUACUUGUACUGAUAUCACCUGACUCAUCAUCUUUCUUGGGAUCCAAUUUGAAGAAUGAGAGAACAAUAGAAGCAAGCUGAUGCUGGUGAGAAGUGAACUCAUGAUCAGCUCCUUCAAUAAGACACAGCUUAUGAUUCUUUAUAUGUUUGGCAAAUUCGGACGCUUCUGUUACAUGCACAAUCCUAUCAUUUGACCCAUGGACUGUUAAGACCCUGAAAUUUUAAGAGAAUCAUUAGUUCCUCUAUUAUAGAAUGAAACCAAAAGAGACAAAAUCUUAUAAGGUAUGAGGAUAGACCUGCAGUUUUCAUGAAUUGAGAGACAUGCUUCAUGAGCAUUGGUUGUGAGACGGUCCAUUAGACUCUCUUCUGUUACCCGAUAUUCAAACUUUCCUGCAACGAAUAAAGGGGAAGAGUUGCCUCUAACAGUACCGGUAAAUGCCAAACACUAUGUUUUCUGGCUCUAACAAUCACAAAACAAAACAAAAAAGCUGAAAGAAUUACCCUUUCUGUUACUAACAUCUAUGAAUCCAUUCUCUUUGAUUCUCUUGAAAUAGUCCUUACCAAGCCGGCCUUCGAUUCCUCUCUCAAGAAAAAACCGGCCGGAGAUAUUCACAACAGUCUGCACAUCCUUGUACUUUGCUGCAUACAAAAGCACCACAUUUCCACCUGCACAAAAUUCAGUGACAAGAACAACAAAGCUCUAUUCUUUCUUGAAUUCAGAAACACGAAAUCGACAUUAGUUUUACGUUCAUAUAUACCUUUACUAUGUCCAAUUAUCGCAGAAAUCUCACGGUUAACCCCACGCAAGUGUUGCAGAACAGAGCGCAGAUCUUCAACUUCACGGCGAUAGUUACCAUACUGAAAUGAUCCUUGGCUUUCCCUGAAGUUCAGAAACAUGAGUAAAGCAACAAACACUUAAAAAGAAAGAAAGGGAAGUAACAAUUCACCCGUUGCCAGCGAAGUCAAACCGGAAAGAACUGAUCAUCGCUCUCUCAAAGAAACUGGCAAUGGUCAGCAUUGGAAUCCGAUCCUAGAAGUAAAUAUAUAUGAAGAUUAAAGUGUUUAGAGAAAACCAAUACAAAUUCAAAGUUUCGUGGAAUCUAAAAUGUGAAUCAAAGGAAGUUUGCAAAUGUUGAAAUCUGAUGAGAAUGCUACCAAAAAAAAAAAAAAGCAAACCUUUGAUGACCGAAAUCCAUGGCAGAUGACAACAGUCUCUAUAGAACCCGUAUCAUGCAAAACUCCUACGAGUUUCUCACCAUGACUGUUCUCAAUUACAAGUCUUCGCUGUUGAAUCUCUGCCAAGAAUUUCCAGACAAAAAUCCAAUCACCAACAAUGUUCAAGCAGAUACAAAAGCCUGUUCUAUGAUCAAUCAAACAUUGAAAAGCCGAAUACAAUCGAAUUGGUAGUUGUAGGAACAAUUUGAACAUAAUAACCUCACAAUAUCAAAAUCGCAGUAAAAUCCAAAUGAUAGCGAAAUGUCAGAAUCAGAAGCGUAUGGAUCAAAAACACAAUGGUACAAUUUAGGAUCGAGAAAGGAGAUGAAGCUUACCCGAGUUGUCGAUUCGUUCAUGGCUAGAUUGAUUCCGGCGAGUCUCCGACAUCGUCGCGCGGAGGAGAUACCUCAGCUUAAAGGGACUCGGAAUUUCUUAUACAGAUAUAAAAGUGAUUUAAUGAAUGAUAUGUUCAACGUUUGGGAUUAGGAAGAAAAUCCGUAUUAACUAUUAAGAAAAUCAGGAUUAGGAAGAAAAUCAGAUAAGUGACUCUUGGAUCAUUUUGAUUUGAAGUUAGAAAAGGAAUAUUUUGUCAAAAAAAAAUGCAUAAAAUUUGAAUUACUUUCACUCUUAGUGUAAUAAAAAUGACACUUUUUAUGAAAUGUAAGGAGUAAAAAAAAAAGCAUCUCUUUUUUUUUUAAAUAUAGAGGGUUUUAGGACCCUAAAUGAUUGCAUAUUGAAAAGAGAAAAUUUUUAAUACAUAUCAAAGACCAAGUUGAUUAAACAUAUUUUAACCCCGCCUGCCUAAGUUUUCUCAAUCAUAGAAAUGACAACUAAUGAACAAUCCAAAGAUAUUAGCUAGCAAUACUGGCAAAAAGACGUCGUGGCAAUAUUGUAAAUAAAUGGCCUAUUUUUUUUUGCAUUUGAUUAACAAAUAGUAUGAUACCAAGUAAAAUAGCUUGCUAUCAGAUAAAAUAAUAUGAUACUAUUUGUUAAAAACAUCCUAAUAUUCUUAUUGGUCUAAUUACUUGGUGCUAAUCAUGAACCCCACAUUCUUCUUAUUGGUGUGAUUACUUGGUGCUUUCAACGACUUAAGGAUUAAGAAGCCAUACGAUGCCGUCUCCUUGUUUUUAAUACAAAGGAUUAAAUUAUUGAGACUUGAAAGUGUCAUGGGAUUAUUACUACGGAUUUUGCCCUUUUUUAUAAUGUUAUAUAUGAAUUUUGCCCUUUUUUAAAUAAUUUAUGGAUUUUGCCCUUUUUAACACUUAAAAAUAUACGUACUUAUGAUUUUUUUUUCAAAAAUACGUACAUUAUACCAAAUACUAAACCCUAAGAACAACUGGAAUCGACUAAACACAAACAUAACGAAUGAAACGCAUGUUAAAUCAUAUUUUUGGAGCCUAAAAAGGGCAAAAUUCAUAAAUUAUUCAAAAAAGAGCAAAAUCCAUAAAUACCAUUAUAAAAAAGGGCAAAAUCCGUAAUUAAUUCAUCAGGGGUAAACUUUUUCAUAAACAAUGACUAAGGACCACAUUGACUAAAAUAUAUAUAACUCCACUUGAUGAAGUUUCCGCAAUAAUAAUAGAAAUCACAUUUAAUGAAUAAUUCAAAGACCUUUUACCUACAAUGUACCAUUAACAAAGACUGACGACUACAAAGCUUAAUCAAUAAUUAUAAUAAAAUUAAGCAGAUAUAAUUAGCAACUAUCUGAGAGUUUCUUCCACGAUACUUCGAGAUUAAGACAGAAUAAGAAGAGUUUGUCAAUGUCAACGCCAAUGGCAUUAUAAGUACGAUGAUUGUCUCUGACGACUCUAUAAUCAUUUGAUCUUGGCAAGAUCUCAAGAGUAAUUCAUAAAAGAAAGCAACACAUACACACAUCAUUUUCGUAAUCCUUGAGGGUCGAUUUCGUUGCCGAGUAAGACCGAUCAUCGAUGGCUGAGGCAAUGGCACAGAAUCUUCUUCAAGACAACCAGCUUAACCGGACUUCCUUCCAUUUCCAACCUCAGAGAAAUUGGCUCAACGGUUCUAUUUCUUUCUUUUUCCUCCUAUUUAUAUUCAUAUAUAGAUCAUGUUGGUUGUGAACUAAAUAUCAUAUUGGCAAAUAUCUCUUAUAGUAUUAUUAGUUCAUAAAACCGGAAAAAAAUAAAACAAUGGUUAAUUUCUGUUUAUUGCAAUUAAUCACUGAAUCAGGUUAUUAAUUUCUACAACAAGAUAUUUAAAACUAACGAUUGUCUUAAUUUUAUGUCACUUAUGGUGCUUGGAUGCAUUUUGGAAAUCUGAAGAUCCAAACGGUACUUAAAUACUCUACCAAUCAUUAGCUUGUGACACGAGGAACCCCAAGUUGUUAUUAUAUGAUGAAAUAUUUAUAUUAUAAAUGUUGUUUCAGCGCCAAUGUACUACAAAGGAUUCUACCAUUUGUUCUACCAGCACAACCCUUUGGCUCCUGAUUUCAGUAAAAUAAUGAUAUGGGGGCACUCUGUUUCACAAGAUAUGGUCAACUGGAUCCAACUUGAACCAGCCCUUUCUCCUUCUGAGCCCUUUGACAUCAACAGCUGCUGGUCAGGAUCCGCCACGAUCCUCCCCGAUGGCAGACCUGUAAUUUUGUACACCGGACUCGACGAUAACAACAAACAGCAAGUCACAGUUGUUGCCGAACCAAAGGACGUUUCUGACCCUUUGCUUCGUGAGUGGGUUAAGCCAAAGUACAAUCCUGUGAUGGUUCCGCCAAGUAAUGUCCCUUUUAAUUGUUUCCGUGACCCAACGACGGCGUGGCAAGGGCAAGAUGGGAAAUGGAGAGUGCUCAUAGGAGCUAAGGAGAAAGAUACUGAGAAAGGAAUGGCUAUUUUGUACCGAAGCGAUGAUUUUGUCCAGUGGACAAAGUAUACAGUGCCUUUACUUGAGUCAGAAGGAACCGGAAUGUGGGAAUGCCCUGAUUUUUUCCCGGUUUCUGUCACUGGUAAAGAAGGUGUUGACACUUCAGUGAACAAUGCUACUGUGAGGCAUGUCGUGAAGGCGAGUUUUGGAGGCAAUGAUUGCUAUGUCAUUGGUAAAUACUCUUCUGAGAAUGAAGAAUUUUCAGCGGAUUAUGAGUUCACUAACACUAGUGCGGAUUUGAGAUAUGAUUAUGGAAAGUUUUAUGCCUCGAAGGCGUUCUUCGAUAGUGUUAAAAAUCGGAGGAUCAACUGGGGAUGGGUCAUAGAGACUGAUAGCAAAGAAGAUGAUUUCAAGAAAGGAUGGGCUGGCCUUAUGGUAAAUAUAUAUAUAUUUUUUUUUGGUUUAACAUUAUGGUAAAUAUGAUAAACCUUAUGGUAAAUAUGAUAUAAGGUUUAUUUUAAGUAAUUGUAGAGUAGAGAUUACUUGUCAAGAAAUUGGAUUAAUUGGUUUGUUUUUGGCUUAGUCUCUUCCCAGGGAAAUGUGGCUGGACACAAAUGGAAAGAAGCUGAUACAAUGGCCAAUUGAAGAAAUCAACAAUCUCCGGACCAAAAGUGUUAGCCUUGAUUGCUAUGAAUUCGAAACCGGCUCGACCUUCGAAAUUUCAGGCAUCACUGCUGCCCAAGUAAGUUUUCUCAGAGUGUUUUGUUAGGACUUAGGAGUCCCAUAUUAUUAAAAAUAAAAUUUAAUGAAGUCAGAUAAAACUCUUGAGGUGGUAGUUUAUGUAUUUUUAAUAGAUCUGUAAAACCAGGUAAAUAUUUGGUAGAAUUCAUUCAUGAUAUAGUCACUAUAUGGAUUUUAGUAGUAAUAUUUAAAAAUCCAUUUAAAAUAACAAGGUUCAUCUUUGUAUUUGAGAUUUUACGUUUUUAACUUGAAAAAACUUUAAAACUUGUAUAAAUCUCAAAUAUCAGUAAUAUUAACACGUCUUCUCUGGAAUCAUUAGGCUAAUACUAUUUUGUUUCAACAACUUGUAUAUAUUUAUCUUUCUCUUGUUGUUGUUAAAGGCCGACGUAGAGGUGACUUUUAAUCUGCCUUUCCUGGACGAUUAUCCCGAGAUACUUGAUGCUGACCAAGUUGAUGAUGCGACUCUGUUUGAUCAUGACAACUCGGAUGGAUGUGUUUACGGGCCUUUUGGACUGCUAGCAUUGGCUACCAAUGAUUUAUCAGAACAAACCGCAAUCUUCUUUAAAGUUAUUCGUCGCGGAAACGGAUAUGCAGUUGUAAUGGGCAGCAGCGAGAAGAGGUAAUAAUGUGAAUUUGAUCUAACAACAUGAAACCAAAUGUUAGUUUCUCUAUCAUGUGUAAGUAUGAUGUUUUGUUUUAACAAAUGGUAAUAUAUACGUAGGUCUUCGUUGAGAGACAACAUAAAAAAAUCUUCGCAUGGAACAUUCCUAGAUAUUGAUCCAAGGCAUGAGAAGAUCUCAUUAAGAUGUUUGGUGAGCUAAAUUAAGCCAUUUUGCAAUGUUGUUUCUUUUAUAUAUAUUCACCCUAAUUAAGACAUUUUAUUUUAAACAAUUUAAACUCUGAAAACCACCUUUUUUGUUGUUGUUGUUGUCGUCGUCGUCGUCGUCUAUAGAUCGAUCACUCGAUUAUAGAGAGCUACGGAGCAGGAGGAAAAAGUGUGAUAACAUCUAGGGUUUAUCCAAAAUUGGCAAUUGGCGAAGCAGCUAAGCUGUAUGUGUUCAAUGAUGGAGAAAAGGGUGUGAUCAUGACGUCCCUGGAAGCUUGGAGCAUGAGAAAUGCCCAAAUCAAUUCAAACCCAACUUAUUAAUGAAUCAUAUAAUAUUGAUAAUAAUAAUCUUUGGACUGCCCUAAAGAUUUUUCUUAUCUUGUCAUGAACUGCUGAAUGUUUUAAGAUUUAUGCAUCUUUUGUAUUCAAGUUAUUGGUGUGGUUAUUGUCGUUUCUUUGGGUAAAAGAUUAGCCUUCUCAUGUUUCUUAUUGAAUUUGCACGAAUAAUAAUAAGCCUUCUCCUGUUCUAUCAAUAAGACUAGUGUGUCAUGAGUCCCAUAGUGUUUAGCAAUUGAUUCUCCUCCAGGGACAACCAAGAAUUUAUUUUAAUCGAUGAUCUAUAUAUCAAAAUUUAACAAGACUAAACUAUCAAAUAAUAAUUAUUAAAUUAAAAUAUCAAAUAUUGAUACAUUCUUUUACUCUAAUUUAUACAUCAAAUGGAUACCAUCAUAUAUAACAUUAGAGGGAGUGGUUUUCUGAUUGAUAUGAUUUCAGGACAAUGAAAUUGCUCUUCUUUUUUAAAAGACAAUCAAUUUUUCCAUCAACAAUUAUAAAGAGUAUAAAAUUGUUAGAAUUAUACUAAAAUAGUGUGGUCAGUUCACUAGUGGUGGCUGAGUGGUAUAUGAGCUCAGAUUUUUUAGGGACCGUCCAUGUUCAAGCACAAAACAUGACAGCCUUGUAGAGUUUAAGCAUUGUUAAGAAGAAAAAGAAAUAUCUGAACUUUGGAUCUCCAUUUUCUUUCAACAUUUUUAAGUAAAAAAUUAUGACAAAGCUUUUUUUUGGUUUCUUUACUGAGUUAGCAUGAUUCUGGGAAAUAUUUGCAAAAUUGAUGCCAUAGCAUUUUCGUAACUAAAUCCUAUAUUUUAUUGUAUUAAAUCCAUGCUAUUUUCUUUAUAAAAAAAACACAGAGAAUAAAAUACACAAUGAUUUAUGAAAAUUCCACCACGUCAUUUCUGCUCUUUUACUACAAUACCCUUGUUUUUUCCCCACUUUGUUCUUUUGUUUCGAGAUAUGUUUAAUGUUUUUAUUAUCUUAAAGAGAUUGUCAACUUGUUAUGAAAAUAGAUUUUGGGAUUUUAACCAGUGCCCUUUUUUAAAUUUGUGGUGGAGGUCUCUCAGCUGCAUUCAUUAAUCAUACACUUGUCUUUUCUGUAUCCUUUAAACUGUGGCCAUUGUAACUCACCUUCACUUAUGUUGCCUUUUAAUCAUUUCGCUUCUUUAGGUAUCUCUCUUUUUAAUCUUGUCGUUAUAUAUAAUAAUGUGUGUGCAUUACAUCAUUCAACUCUCAUUGGUUAUUGCUACUCUGCCUUUUCAAUAAUUAAAACAUAUAUCAAACUAUAGAUCAUGGGUUUAUACAAGUUGAUCCCCUUUUCUGUUUAAUUAUAUUUCUUCAUGCAUACUUUGAAUGGUGAUAUGCCGUUGCUGCGGUUAUGAGCAACACAACUGCAACGACCAAAUUUCGAAAAAAAAUAACAUAACAUAACUGCAUGAUUGAUUAUUUCAUAAAAAGUCCUUAUCAUAACUAUUUUACUAUAUAUUGUAACAAAAAGAAUAGAAUAAAUGAUAAUGAAAUCAUAAAAACUGUUGGUGUUUCAAAAGAGAAAAAUAACUUGUUUCCCCCAAAGGCUAACCAAGCCCCACCCCACCACUGAGGAGCUCCCUAGACAUAUUUUAUUUGCGUGAUGGGUAGGUAUGGAUCUACGGGUAGAUUUUUUGUUUUUGACAUGUGAAAGUGUUUUGCGGACAAAACUAAUAAUAUAUUUUUCUGACCAGAAAAUAAAUAUAAUGAUGUUUAAAAUUUUAGAUUAGCCCUAUAUCAUUUAAGAAAGCUCAGUAUUCGAAAAUUCAACGCAACGGAAAAAAUGAAAAGCAUAAGCAUCUUGACAAAAUUCGUCUAGCUAGGGUGAAUCGUGUUACCGAAAAGAGACAAUUCGAUUUGUAGGUUGAUAUCUCAAUUAGGCGAGCUAGUUGAGUGAUAACGGCAAAAUUUCAUAAAAGAUUCAAUACAUACUGUUUACAUAUGGGGUUGUGAAUUCUACAAUCAAAACUUUGGUAAAAUAAUAGUAUGAAGUGAUUGUGCAAUAAUUGCGAUUGACACCCUAAAGAUUCUUUGGGCCAAAAUCUCUUAAGAUACAAUAAAAAAUAAAAUAAAAUUCAGAUACCGAAAUUGUCCAAGAGAAAGAUAGCAGUCAGAUUCCGUGGUAAUCAACGGAUUCUAUUUACAUAUUAAUAAUAUAUAGUUUUUCAUAAUUUCGAGGUCAAUAUUUAUUAGAGACCGGUCAUCGAUGACAUAAUAUUGUACUUAAUGCCUCUUUUUCAUUUUGCCUCCCCAAUUUAAUCAAGAAAAUUACUCUUUAGAAAUAAAAUUAUAUUUGGACCCUGUCUAACAUCAGCACAUUAGUUUUUUCUCCUCACAUCGUUCAACAUAUAUAUAGUUCAAUACGGAAACUAAAGAAACGGAAAUCAUUCACAAAUAAAUAAUAUAAUUAUGAUGGAAUAAAUCUUACACGUGAUGAUCUAAACAACACUUACCAACUGGCAAAAGAUAUGAAAUAAACAACCAGCACUGGAUUAACAAAAAAAAAGGAAACAUUUUUAUGUUUCUAAGAAAGAGUGAAUUAAUGGAAUUUUUCACAAUGGAUAUUAUUUAUCAGAUUUUUUUUAAUUAGGUUAUAAAUAGGCUAACUUGGAAAGAAAGAAAAAAAUACAGAAAAUUACAAUUAUGCCAAUAAGGCUCCAACCUCAACGAGUCUAGGAAUAAGCUGACCACUUAGGUGAAGUGCUACAAGUGACUCGAAGCCACCGACACAAGCACCACCGAUGAAAAGCACCGGAGCGGCUUCAACGGCGAGGUAAGCAAUUUCACCGCCGUCGAUCUCGAUCACUGUUGGGUGAACUCCGACGGUCGAUAGAAGCUUCUUCAUGACGUGGCACAUGCAACAUGAGGAAGAUCGAGUGAAUAUGAUGACUGGAUGCUCUGAUAUCAGCCGUCCAAUCUUUGACUCUGAUGUCUCCUCUUCAUCGAACGAAAGGCUCGUCGAGGCGGUGGAGGAGGAGACUGUUGGUGGUGCUGGAGGAGGAGGAAGAACCGUCAGGUCUAGCGUUACGGCGUCGUUUGAGCAGUCUCGUAAACCUCGCAUCGUCUUCAUUAGAGAGAAAGAGUUAGAGAAAGUGAGAGAGAGAGAGAGUGGGAGUUUUGUUGAUGUCAACGCGAGAUGAGAGCGACCAUAAAUGGAGAAAUUGGGUGUCACUAUAAUGACGUAACCAUUAGCAAAUUAUUUAUUUUAUUUGUGUUUUUAAUAUAUAUAUUUUUUGUCACUUUAAAUUUGUUUUCGACAGAUUGGUCGCCUCUUAUUUAUGACAUAUACCUUGGUCUUUUUUUUGUUCAACCAUACAGAUUGGUCUAAAAUUCCAAAUUCUAAAUUAUAUAUAUAUAUAUAUAUAUAUAUAUAAAGUUGAUAUAUAAUGGUUAUUUGGCUUCUAAGAGUGGAAUACUAGAUAUUUUUAUUGGUAUUAUCUUAGAAAUUCAAAGAUUUGUUACAUUGUACAUGAAUAAAUUAAUAUCCAUCAAAUCAGCGGUUUUUAUUUCUUUUAUUAGAAUGUUCUGUAUAUGUGCCCUCACUCACAUAUACGAGACAUAUAUGUAAACAUUUUCUCAUGUAUGCAACGUAACCAUGCAUGUACCAUAUUACAACUACGUAUAUUAGUAUACUAUUACAGCUUGUUAGGUUAGAUAGAGUGUAAAUGGUAACAUCAAAAAAAAUAUUCAGCCAGAUUCAGCCAGAUUCAGCAAUUCCGUAGUUACCAUUUGUAUAAAACUAAAUUCAGCCAGAUUCAACAGUUUUUCCAACAUCAACAGAUACAUAGUAUGUUCAUUUCAGAUAAAAAUUUGGAUUAUAGCGAUUCACAACUCGAAUUAAAAUAUUUUGGCUAUUAAAAAUUACACAUCAAAUUUAUAUUUUAAAAUAAGUUAGAUCAUACAAAUACGAUAUAUGAAUAAUUCAUACACAUAAAAUCAUUACCAGAAUAGACAAGACACAUAUUUAUGUUCAGAUAUCUAUAAAUAUUUUUAGACAAUUUUAAUAAAUUUUAGAUACUUAAAUAUAAUUUUCCAAAUUUUUGCAAAAAUAACUCAUACUUAUGCUAAAAUAAUAUUUAAAAUAUCAAAUUAAAAAAAUUUUGUUAAUCAUCCUAAUCAUAUUAAGGAUUUAAACUACUAGAGAACAAUGAAAAAUCAAUAAGAUAAUCUAUAUUAUAUUAUCAUGUUUAUUUUUAAAUUAAUUUUUCAAUAAAACUUUGACAAAGCUUUCUAUUAAUUAAUUAUAUCUUUUUAAUAGUUCAAAAAUUAGAUUUGGAAGAACAACUCAAUUUUGCUAAAAAGAUAUUAAUUCUAGUAUUUAUUUAUUAGUAUAAGAGUUAAUUAGACUAUUAGAUAAUUUUAUCUAUUUUAUUUAGAUAAUUUUCCUUAGUUAUUCUAUUAAUAUUCGUAAUUAUUUGACGAUAUUUCAGUUAAAGUCUUAAUUAUUUCGACAGAUUCUGCUAAAAAACACAAAAAAAUUCAGCUGGAUUCAGCGGUUACCAUUUGAAAAUGUAAAAAUUCAGCCAGAUUCAGCUAAAAAUCACUAAAAAUUCAGCCAGAUUCAGUAAUUCAACCGGAUUCAGCCAGAUUUCUCGGUUACUAUUUAGACCCAUAGUAUGUAAAUUGAUAUAAAAGGAAUAAUAACCCAAACAUAAAAGAAACACAUUUUGGUUUGAGUUUUCCAUGAAAUCUGGCGUACGUGGUGGACGAGAUCCUCAAAAUAUUUCUAUAUAACUUGAUAUUUACGCUAUACGGCAGCAUCAUCGUUAAUCUUACGACUUCUUGCUGUUUAUUGUUUGAAUCCCAUGACGUUAAUAAUGCCUUUUCAAAUAAAAUGCUAAUAAGGACAAAAGACAAAAUUUGAAUAUGAUUCUACGGGUUCGUACGUUCUGCCUAUCUGGAAAAAAAAUGGUUAUAAUAUUUACUUCUAUAUUCAAAAUUUGGUUGGCACAUGUGCAAACAAGUUUUAGGGACCAUCUCCGUGGUUAAUUAAUAACAUCGUUUCAAUUAUUGUUUGAGCACAAAAACAAUAACUAUUCCGUUCUUAAACAAAUUAGAACAUUAUAAAAACUGCUAGUGCAAGUACAUGAACCCCAACGGCGGACCUAUGUUCAGCAAAGGUGGGUCAACUGACCCCCCUAAAAUUAUGAAAUCAGUCUUUAGUUCUAGCAAUUAUCACUAAUUGAUAACUUCAUUAGUUCCUUUUUGCACCCCCUAUUUAAAUUGUUUUCUUAUGCAUCCAUAAUGAGUUUUUUUGCACUCAUUAUUUUAUUCAUUUUAUAUCUAAUUACUUUGUUUAAUUUGUUGUUUUCCAAAAAAACAUCAUUCUUUAUGUAUUUUGAUUAAAAAAAAUCUAAAAUUUCAAAAAAAUACAAUUUUUAUUAAUACAUACAGAAAAUUAAUUAUGUAAUUUUCAUCUUCUUAACAAAGUUAACAAUAUUGACCCCGGUAAAAUAUAUUUCUAGGUCCGCCAAUUGAACCCCAACCUCUAAUUUAACGUUUACUUAAUACACAUUAUAUAUAUGCACGUUAUACAAGUUAUUAGAUGACAUUAUCUACGUAAUACCAUCAGUGCCGGCUCAACAGUAUUAUAGGCCCUAGGGCAAACAAAAAUUUAGGCCCUUAGAAUUUUUUUUUGUGUGUUCUUUGUGUUAUAUAAAAAAAUUGUAUGAUAUUUUUAUUAAAAAUUUAAUUAUUAAAACUAAAAACAAUAAUAAAAAAAUUAUGGACCCUUCUAAAUUUUAUUUUUAUGUUGUAAUUUAAAUUUUUAAUACUUUUAUAAAAAAAUUUUAUUUUUAUUUUGUCAUCAUUAACUUUGUUUUUUUAAUUUACAGACUUAUAGCUAAGUAAUUUGUAUUUUGUCAUCAUUAACUUGGUUUUCGAGAGAUUGGCUCUCAUUGUGAUAGGAGGUGGUAGAUGUUAUUUCUGGUUUGGCCGUGGGCAGCCGUGAUAAAUCGCAUUCGCUGGUGUUUCAGAAGAAGAGGUUUCUUUGUUCUCUUGGUUCUAUCCUUUCUCCUAAGGUUUCUACCUUGUUGCCUCGGCUUUUAGAUUAUGGAGUCUUCCUCCUUCGAUUCUGGUUUGUUUUUAUCUGCUUUGUAUUUCUAGUUUCGCCUUACUUUGCUUCCCUUUGAUAGGGCUUAGUUUUCGGGGAAUUUCGUUUCUUCUCCGACAGUGACUUCGGGGACUUUUAGUUUGUCCGCCGACUUAAGUUUUCCAUGUUUGGGCAUAUGUAUUCUUUCCUUGGUUCCACAACAAGUUUCUAUAAUAAAAUUUCAUAGCGACAAAAAAAAAAGCUAAGUAAUUUGUAUUUGAAAACAUUAGUAGAAAAGAGGGGAGUUUGAGACAAAAUUGGAGCGUGUAGCACACGCAAAUGAAGAGUGCACAUAUGAGAGAGUGGAAGAAUUAGAAGAGAAGGAAAAGGGGGGAGUGGUCACAUGGACGGACAUAUGGGGGCUAUAGUAAUAAAUGAUGCUGACGUAAUUUAUUUCUUUUAUCUCAGGGUAAAUUGGAGCCACUUGACGUCAUCAGAUAUCAGAUCAUCAGACCAUGUCCCAGCUAACGUCGACAACGGUAUCUUACCAAUAUAUAUUUUUAUUUAUUUAUAAUAAUAUAAAGGACAAAUCGAAGUUCUUACAUAUCAAAAAAAAUAUUGGUAAAGGACUUGAGAAAAUAAAAUUAGUGAUAAUUUGUCAAUGGCAUUUUAAUUUCUUUCCGUUAUUAGUGCGACUUUAACGAAGUUUGACAUGAGUGGCAAAUUCCAAUUGGCAAUGAACAAGUGAGAAUAUUCCCAAAGAAUAUGAACCAACCAAAUGUGAAUCUUUAAAAUUCAAACUUUUAAAUAGGCAUGGACUCAUUGUAGUGGAAGAUGCAGUAGAGCAGAUAAUAAUUUUUGGAAUCUCUUUAUUAGAACUACAUCUUUAUCUUAUUGAGAGUUUUUUUUUUUUUUUAAUAAUAAAGUCUAAUUAAUUACAAAAUUCAAUAAAGUCUAGUCCGUAUAUGACUAAUUGAAAGUCUCCAACCUGGCGAUAGGCAUUAAAACCGUGUUGGAGUGACAGAAGUCAAAACUACCUCAUUUAUUAAUUUUGCUAUUAGAAUGUCUUUUUAUAACUAAACAAUGAACAUGUUAAAGUUGCAGGUUCAAGGAAAAAUAAAGAGAUCAAAUAGCAAAACUAUAUUGUAUAAGAUUUCGUUCUUACAAAAUCAAUAUGGACUAUAACGUUAAUCUACACAUGUAAGAGUUCACUCUUAGGUUGGAUAGGUAGCUUCCUCCAUGUAAACAAGUUUUCUUUAUCUUUUCUCUUAACUUAUCGAUGUUGAUGCUUCAUUAUCUUCAUUAGUUUUAUAUAUAUGAAUAUAUGAGUAAUUUACCCUCUUGGGCUGAUUACGUUAGAUUUUUUUAAUGCUUGAAGGGUUAACCAUUGCAUUAAAGGGGUUAACCAUUGAUUAUACUCAUCGUUGAUUAUACUAAAAAGGUUGUUUCAUAAUAACUUAAAAAUAUUAAUUAAGUAAAAAUAUUUAUAGAAGAUAUUUAUAAUUAUUUUUAAAUAUAUGAUUUCGAUAUUUCAAAAUAGUUUUUUUGAGUUUAAUUUAAUAGUUAGUUUAAUAUAAUUUCGUUGAUAGAUGUUUUAAAAAAAUAAAAAAUUAGUUUACUAUGUUCUUUUAGUUCUAUAUUUUACACAAAUUUUAAAUCAUCUUUUCACGGUAAAGUAUACAUACAUUUCAAUUAAAUAAGUGUUUGCAAUAUUAGUUAACAAUAUUAUCUAUUUUUGUAGUUUAGUUAAUAUAUUAGAGUCUAAAUUUGUGUGAUAUUUUUAGAUAUAAUUUACAUUUUAAAUAAAACUAAUAUAUGUAGUUUAAGUAUUUAGAAACCAAAAGAAAUAGUAUUUCAAAAUUUUGGGGUUUUUUAGAUUUUAAAUAUUAAAAUAAAUUAAGAAUGGAAAAGUAUAUUUAUUUCAUAUAUUAACUAUAUUGAUUUUAUAUGAUUAAUUAUAUAUUAUUUGUGCCCUACACAUAUUAUUUUUUUGGAUCCGCCACUGAUGCUUGUGAUAUAUGAUAAUUUUUUAUAAACUACUAUGGUUUACUUAAGAUUAAACAAACACAUUAUUAUAUAAAAAAUUUAUAUGUACACGUAAAAUGGUAUGUUUAGCUAUUUAGCAUUCCGUGUUUUCAUUUUCCCAAAAAUAAAGCACUCCUCCCUCUUUCCUUUUCCUGCUUUUGUUUUAAUAGACUUUAGAUGUUAUAAUUAAGUUUAAUAUAGAUAUCGUAUUUCUGUUUUGGUGAGAAAGAAUAUUUUAUAAGUUUGACACGUCAUAUAUUCUUUUCUUUUUUUUUAAUAUAUAAUCAUGUUUUAAAAUAUACACAGUUUAUGAAAAAUGCAUAAGAAGCUUUAAUGGUUCGACAGAUUCAGAUCAUGACAUCAUGGACCAAUUUUUCUUCACAACGAAAAAAACUGUCAACGUCGGAUUGCGUCACGUUAAUGUCUUUUUUCCUUUAACGUCUGCGUCACGUUGGUGCUUUAGUUGAAUUAUUAUGCCCAUAUUCGCUAGUUGGUUCUUCUUUCUUAAUGGUGACCAGGAUUUUAUUUUCUUCUUUUUCUUACCAAUUUUGUUUCUAAUAACUGGAAUAGAUCUCCGGAAACUUACUCUUUUUUCAUAUACUCCUUUAGUUUCAAAAUGUAAGACGUUUUGAACUAUUAUUUUUAUUUUAAAAUAUAAGACGUUUAUAUAUUAAUUUAAUAUUUUCUGAUUAUUUAUAUUAUGCAAUUUUAUUCAUGAUUGGUUGAACUUUUUAAAAGUGUAUAUUUCUUAUAACUAAAAUGUUUUAUAUUUUAAAACGGAUGAAGUAGUAUAUAACUAUAUAUCACCGAAAUAUUAACCGUGUAUUACGCUUGUUACAACUUUUUACAAACCCAUAAUCUGACAGUUCAAACAAUAAAUUUGUGCUGCAAUUCAACCUUAAAAAAGCAGUAAGCAUUUGCUUAAAUCUAGAUUGGGUUAAAAUAUAAAACGGCAUCAGAAACUCAGAAAACUCUAUUAUUAAAUAAGGUAACGAUGAAAUAGAGAAUAUUAGAAAAUAUUAUUUUAAAUUAAGCAAAUACCAGAAGAGUAUUUAAGUUUUUUACAACCUAAUAAUGUCAACGUUAGCUAAGUAAGUCGUUUCAGAAGGUAACUGAUUAAUUAUGAGACAAAACGCUAGCCUGGCAUAAAUACGAGACCAUUCAUUAUGUAAAAUAUAUUCAAGAAAACGAAAAACUCUGAGACAUUGAUCUCUUGUAGAUUUUUCCCCUGCAGGGAAAAAUGAUGAGCUCUCAAGUCUCAUGGUGGGUUUUUUGGGUAAUCAGUGCUGUGUGUAUUCUCAACGUGGAGUUUAACAUUGUCGAAGGAGGAGCCUAUGAAGAGACUAAGGUAUAUUCUGUCACAAUUUUCUUAAUUAUUCAAUAAUGGAAACAAAAAAUAAAACGUUUAGGUAAAGGAAAGAUUAAUGUGCAUUACCAACACAUAUAUAGGUCCACAUAGUAUACCUUGGUGAAAAGGAGCAUAAUGAUCCUGAGCUUGUAACGGCCUCGCAUCUCAGAAUGUUAGAAUCCCUACUCGGAAGGUACCAACAAACCAAGAUUAGACAAGUAAAACAAUAUGUGUUUAGACAAAUAAAAUUAUUAGCAGUAACUAACAGAUUUUGUGGCCGUAUGGUUGCAGCAAAAAAGACGCUAGUGAGUCCAUAGUUCAUAGUUAUCGCCAUGGUUUCUCCGGCUUUGCUGCCCAUCUUACGGAUUCCCAAGCAAAAAAAAUCUCGGGUGUGUACAUAUAAAGAUGCAUUAUUAGAGAUAUAUGAAGCAAAUUAGAUCAAAGGUUAUUAAUGAUUCGAAUCUUCAUAACUAUGAAUAGAGCAUCCAGAUGUAGUUCAAGUAACGCCCAAUAGUUUCUAUGAGCUGCAAACGACAAGGACAUUUGAUUACUUGGGGCUUUCUCAAAGCACACCAAAAGGACUUCUUCAUAAAGCCAAGAUGGGCAAGGACAUCAUCAUCGGUGUCUUGGACUCGGGUCCGUUUUUUGAUAAUAAAUUUCCAUGGAGAUUUGCUCCAAAUUUAAGACAAUUGGACACAACUAGUAUAUAAAUGUACGUGUGUUUGUAGGUGUGUGGCCAGAGUCACAGUCGUUCAGUGACAAAGGCUUGGGGCCGAUCCCAAAACGUUGGAAAGGGAUGUGCGUGGACGGUGAAGAUUUCGACUCGAAGAAGCAUUGCAACAAGAAGUUGAUAGGAGCGAGGUAUUACAUGGAUAGUCUUUUCCGUAGGAACAAAACGGAUAGCCGAAUACCGGACACGGAAUACAUGUCCGCAAGGGAAGGCUUGCCUCAUGGGACACACGUGGCCUCCACAGCUGGGGGAUCCUUCGUCUCAAAUGUGAGUGACAACGGGUUUGGAGUGGGUACAAUAAGAGGUGGAGCCCCUAGUGCUCGUAUCGCGGUUUACAAAGUGUGUUGGCAACGAGUAGACGGCACAUGCGCAAGCGCAGACAUAAUCAAAGCGAUGGACGACGCCAUAGCGGAUGGAGUGGACUUGAUAACGAUCUCAAUAGGCAGGCCGAACCCUGUGCUGACUGAAGUUGACAUGUAUAAUCAAAUCUCGUAUGGAGCAUUCCAUGCAGUCGCCAAUGGCAUUCCCGUGCUCAGUGCGGGUGGAAACUUUGGGCCUGGGGCUUACACCGUCCAAAACAUAGCUCCAUGGAUCAUAACAGUGGCUGCCACCACUCUAGACCGGUGGUAUCCCACACCUUUGACACUAGGCAACAAUGUGACCUUAAUGGUAAACCAAACAAAAGAAAACUAGUGUCUGUGUACUUGAUUCUCUUUUGACAUUAAAUGCAUGUGACCUUCUAAUCUAUUACUAUGUAGGCACGGACCUCGUAUAAGGGCAAUGAGAUUCAAGGAGAUCUAGUGUACGUAUAUAGCGCAGACGAAAUGACGAGUGCGACAAAGGGAAAAGUGGUGCUAAGUUUCACGACUGGAAGUGAAGAAAGUCAGUCAGAUUAUGUACCUAAACUUUUAGAGGUCGAAGCUAAGGCUGUAAUUAUUGCCGGCAAAAGAGAUGAUAUUAUCAAAGUAUCCGAAGGUCUUCCCGUUAUCAUGGUAGACUAUGAACAUGGAUCUACCAUAUGGAAGUACAUAAGUAUCACUAGGUAAUUAUUAAAAACCACUGCUUAAUUUGACCUUUCUUAUUAUAUGAGUUGCAAUGUGUUUAAUAUUUUAAAUAACCACUUAAUUACAGAUCGCCUACCAUAAAAAUAAGUUCUGCCAUCGCGCUCAAUGGGCCGCUUGUAGCCACUAAGGUUGCUGAUUUCUCAGGGAGAGGACCCAAUUCCAUAUCUCCAUACGUUCUCAAGGUAAACUUAAUUUUUGUUUCCAUAUAAUGAUCAUAUAUACCCAAUUUAUAAAUGAUCAAAUAAUAAUGAUAAUGAAAAAACUCAAUUCUAUCGAUAUUUCUUUUGCAUCACAUAGCAACAUUACUUUUUUACAGCCCGAUGUAGCGGCUCCAGGUGUGGCCAUAGUGGCAGCUAGUACUCCAGAAGAUAUGGGUACUAACGAAGGAGUCGCUGCUCAGUCAGGAACUUCAAUGGCAACACCAGUAGUUGCUGGUUUAGUUGCACUACUUCGAGCUGUGCAUCCUGAUUGGUCUCCAGCCGCGCUUAAGUCAGCUCUCAUCACUACAGGUAAACUAACACUUUUCUUUUGUUGCACUACUUCGAGCUGUGCAUCUUGAUCUAGUUAGUUACUCAUUUUUAAUUGGUUAAGCUUCCACAACGGAUCCCUACGGAGAACCUAUCUUCUCAGAGGGAAUGACACGAAAACUAGCCGACCCAUUUGACUUCGGAGGAGGACUAGUGAACCCAAACAAAGCAGCCGACCCUGGUCUUGUCUACGACAUAGGUGCAGAAGACUAUAGGCUUUUUCUAUGUGCUUCCGAUUAUGACGAGAGACAAAUAACCAAAAUAUCAAAGACAAAUACGCCAUAUCGAUGUCCAAGUCCAAGGCCCUCUAUGCUUGAUCUUAAUUUGCCUUCCAUCACCAUUCCAUUCCUCAAGGAAGAUGUGACUCUCACUAGAACCGUCACCAACGUCGGACCCGUUGACUCUGUCUAUAAGCUCGUCGUUAGGCCUCCUUUGGGUGUCAAAAUCUCUGUCACACCCAAAACAUUGCUCUUUAACUCCAAUGUCAAGAAACUCAGCUUCAAGGUCAUUGUCUCCACAACUCACAAAUCCAAUUCGAUUUACUAUUUUGGGAGCUUGACUUGGACUGAUGGCUCUCACAAAGUCACUAUCCCAUUAUCUGUCAGGACACAAAUGUUGAUGUACUUCGACCAGUGAGUUUGCAUUUUCCCCAUUACCAUGUCUUACUUAACCUAGAGCGGUGGUGUGAAAAAAUUUCAAUAAUUGUGGGGAAUAACUUAUAUUUAAAAACCAUCCUUUACUGCCACAUAUUGUUUUCUUUUGUGUUUAAAAACGAAAACUUUGGUACUUAAAUCCCGAAUUAAAUAUGCCAACUUGAACGGAAAAAAAGCGUGGAAAUUUUCAUCAACCAAACUAAAUACUAAAUUUUUAAUUGUUUGGCCAAAUUAGACAUAAUUUAAUUGAAUAAAAUACAAUAUAUAUGGUGAAUUUCAUAGCAAACAAUGGCCAAAUUCAUAACCAAUUGCUACUAAAAUUUGUGUUGUUAUUUUAUAGUUAAUUAGCCACUUAUUGGCAAGUGGCAACAUACAUUUGAUAUUAUUAAUGUUUGGAUACAUUACAUUUUGUAUUAUAAACUAAUACAAUUUUGAAUUAUAUAUAAGAUUUUGGAUUUGCACAAAAAAUAGAUAUUGAAAAUUUAGGAAACGUACAGACAGAUGUUGAAAACUCUCACAAGUUCUUCAAAACUUUGCUAAGUUCUUAAAUACAUGGUACAGCGGGCAAAUGUACACAUAACAUUUGGAUAUAUAUACAUGGUACACAACAGCGAUCAAAUACUAUGAUAAACGAACGUCAAUUUAAUUUGAAAGUAUAAUGUUAAUAUCUUUCUUUUAUAAAUUGUUAAAAAGGAAUUACAAGAUUAAGUCAAAUACUUCUCACUAACUUCUUAUAAAGAAAAAGUUCUCCUGAUUUUUAAUUCAGGUUUCGUCUUUCACUUUGGUGUAUACUUCUCUACCAACCUAGGUUGGUUUUGUCUUUUCUUAGCCGGUUCCCGAUUUUUCUUUUAAAAUCAGAACCGAGUCUCUGUAAAAAGUUCUCUUUUCAUUUUUUUCUGUUUUCUCUUCCAUUCCCUCUUUGAUUUCAAUGGUGUGUUUUCAAAGUUUCUGAAAUCUUAGAUCCAAAUUAAAUUGCGGAAUGAAGUACUAGUGUUGUUUUUAAUUUAUAAAUCGUUAAAAAUGAAUUACAAGACUUAGCCAAGAUUCUUGGCUGAACAGACACAAAUAAAGUUACGAGUUUUACAAUAGUCGAUUUUUUUGUUCAUUCUAAAACAAUGCUUAAUACAAUUACACAAAAAAGAAAUUGGACUUCUAGGAACUUUAGGGAACGGGUAUAUAUAAUCGUCAUAUGAAACCUCUUCAUUCUUUACAUGCAUGUCAAUUUGAGGACUCUCAGCCACAUUAGAAGAAAGAAACUUCUGUGCUGAAUUAGAUUUCGCCAUAAUAUUUGAUACGCCUAUAAAAAAUAUCGAAUAAUGCAAUCAAUAUAAGAGCAUAAAAUCUGUGGGAUUUCUUAAAUUAUCUUACAAAUUUAACUUACGUAACCGAGAAUAAACUUACAUGAUAAAAAAAUAGUUAGAAAAAUGAGAAAUAAAACUUUCUUCAUUUGUUCUGAAUCUUCAAUGCUUUUAAUUUGUCUUUUUUUUUUUCGAGUUUUGGUUGUGAAGUCAUUAGGACUAGAUAGUAUCAUAUUUAUACGGUUUCUUAUUUAAGUUACAGAAGAGUUGCCGUUCUCAUCAACGCUUUUGUUAGAAAAUUUAGGUUAGAAAAUUAUACUCUAUUAAUUAAAAAUAAUAAUGUGAAAGUAAAAAGUAUUUAUUAUAUUUAUUAACUAGGAUCGGACCCGCGGUCCACUGCGGGAGAAUAUUGGUUUACAUACGUUACGUUUAAUAUUGUGUGUGUUUUUUAGUAGAACGAAUCGUGUAGUAUACUUAUAAAUAUUCAUAAUAACGAAUUGUAGAGAAAAUGUAAAAUUAUAAAUAUAACCAUCGUAUUAAUUAUGAUUUACAAAAUAGAAUUUUGUGUUUUAAAAUUCUAAAAUUAGACGAUUUAUGGGAAUUAGAGCAGUCAAAAUAGGUCAAAAACCGCGGGUCGAGCCCACAUCAUCUCACUAUGGGGCAGAUUUGGGAAAAUAUAUUAAAUCCGCAAAUAAGCGGGCCACAUGGAUUAAUUCGCAGUGGGUCAUAGGUUUAAUCGGUUUUCAUCCGCGGGUUAGCGGAUCAGCCCGCAUAUUAGUAUUUAUUGAUAAAAUUAUAAUUUAUUCAACAUGUGGUAAUUUAAACAAACUUUUAAUAGUAUUUUGAUUUAUUUAUUUAUUUUAGUAGUAUUUUAAAUUUUGGUUACUUUAAAAUUAUUUAAACAAAAUCCAUGGAUAAUCCCGCAAAUCCGCAUACAUUCGCAGGACGGGUUUGUAUUUCAUAUAUGCUACCCGCGGGUCGUGCAGACCGACUAACUACAAGUCAAAAUAUUUUUUGUCUAUCGCAAAACAGACUUAACGGGACGAAUCAACUCGCUUUGACAGUUCUAAUGGGAAUAUUAUUUAGUCAUACAAUAAAAUGAAGUUUAGACAUAGUAAAAAUAGAAUAUGUAUCUUAUUUGUUAGAUGAGAGAUUGAAAGAUGAAGUAUAAUGAUUAAAAAUUAAUUAUUAUUUUUCAUGAUUCACAAAAUUUAAUAAAUACUUAUCAUCUUGUUGAAUAAUUCUAAAAUCAUAUUCAAGAAAUCUUUAUAAAUUGAAAAUUAAACUUCUUUGGUAAGCUAUAGGUAUGAAAAUAUCAUAAUUUCGAUUUAAUCUAAUUAAACUAAAAUUAGUUACAUGGAUUUCAUAUCUAUUUAAUUUACACGACCAAAAUAAAAAUAUCUAUUUAAUUUACACGACUAAAAUAAAAAUAUCAAUUUAAUUUAUAAAACAGAUGGGUUAUUUGUGAUAAAUUUUCUAGAAAUCUUUAGAAGCAAGUAAAAUAUCUUUCAAUUAAUGAUAAUUGGCUAAAAUGAGCGAAAUUAAUGACAAAAACGUUGAUUGUUAUGGAAUUAGUCCCAAAAUAUACGAACAAAUUUAUUAUACGUAAUUAAUGUAUAAUAUUGUUUGGAAUAUGCUUUUAUUAUUAGUUACCAUAAGUACAAUCAGAUUUUAUUUGAUUUCCAUAAAUAUUUGAUUUUAUUUCGAUUUUUUAUUAUUAUUUCGAAUUUAUAUUUCAAAAAAUUUCAAAGAUCCGAUUUCAGAAUUUCGGGUCAAUUUUCUGAUUUUAACCCGACCCAUUUUCUUUUUUUUUUUUUUUUUUUUUGGUGAGUACGAGGGAGGCAAUGCCUCCCCUUUUAUUAAUUAAAAAGAAAAUCAAAUACAAACUUGGCGUGGAAUCGUAGUUCCACGCUCAUCGUCUAACAAAAUCGAGGAAACACAACUAGGCAUUAAAUCGAAUAAAUGAAAACCUAAAGGUAGAGAAAAAGCAUAGUUGGCUAACCCGUCCGCAAGACAGUUAGGUUUCCUAUACACAUGCGAAAUCCGGACUAUCCAGUCCCUUGAUAUGAAGCCAUGGCACAACCGUACCAGGAAUGACAAGGGGUGAGAGUCACCAAUCCCUGUUGUAAGAAAUCCAACCACCAUCUCUGAAUCCACCUCCAACUCCACACGAGGUGCCCGUCUCUCCCAUGCCAAAUAAAGCCCAUAAUAGACCCCCCAGAGCUCUGCCAUAGGAGCUGAACAAAUCCCAAUAUGAAGUGCAAAUCCCGCUUGCCAGGCUCCCAACUCGUCCCUUAUGACCCCUCCAGCCGCAGCCACACCCGAUCCAUUUUCAUUAGUACUUCUCUUUUAAUAGUAUAGAGAUUACCAACCAAUUGGUUGUUUUAAGAUGAAACGUACAGUUGAUCAAAAAAAGAAGAUGAAACGUACAUUAUUCACUGCAAGUUCCUUAUUUUUUAAAAAUACUAGAGGAAAUCCGGGCUACGCCCGGUGUACAUUUGAUAUUUGAUAUUUUUAAAUUGGUUAAUGUUGUUUUAAUUUUUAUUUAGUUUCUUUAGUGAAAAUGCGAAAAAGAUACUAUUAAUUGUUUAGUUUUACAUAUUUAUCAUUUCCACAUUAAUUUUCAUUUACAAAAUUAAGUAGAAGAAACUAAAAAUUAGUGUAUAUAGUAUUUUCAUUUAUCUCCCGUAAUUUAUUUUCCAUUUGUCUCUAAUCAUAUUAUUCCGUAGUUCUAUAUUUUAAUUUUAUCUUAUAUAUUAAUUAUUUUAUGGUUUCUAAGAUUAGAUUACUAUCAUAUUAGUCCAUAUAAUAAUAAUUUAGCUAAACACUAUUGAGAUGGUUUUCUAUGUCAAAUAAUCAUAAUAAUUUCGUAAUGCUAAGUUCUAGCGCGGGUUAUUUUUUUGUGUUUGUACUUUGUACUAUGUUGAUAGGAAUUAGAAGGUUAUUGCCUCGUCCAUUUUACCUGAGCUUUAAUUCACCGUGAAUAUACUACAAGUUAAAUGUAUUUUGCAUCUUGUUACCCAUCUCGCUCCUCCUGAAAAUGUUUUCGUUUCUUUGAUGACCCUUUGUCACCUUUACCAAUAGAUACUCAUCAAACUCAACCCCUCCCAUAAGAUCAUCUAACUUAGGUGAUUUAGUUCUCUUUAUCCACCAGCAUAAAAAACUCAUAAAUGCUCACAUACUACACAUCACAAUGCAAAAAUAGAACAAAAAUGUUAAACAAAUAAAGAUUUGGCAUCAAUGAUUAUGCAUAAUUCAAAUGCUUUAAACUCUAUGUUCCUAAUCAUUGAUAGUUUGUUCUUAACUAAAUGAAUAAAAAUGUAGUAAUUUUGCAGUGUUUUACUACUUGGCUGUCUCUUAUCUUUCAGCAGCACCUCUACUUCUUUUCUUUUGAAUCCUGAAAGAAACAAUUAUAUUGAUAAACAAUUGAUUUGUAUUAUUAGCAAGUUAAUCGAUGAUGUAGGUAGGGCCUAAUGAUUCACAUUUACAGCUUGGUGAAAAUAUAAUAUUAGCUCAUCAUAUUAAAGAUUCGAAUACGUAUGUGUCACUUUUAUUUUCGACAAUCUUUGUGACUUGCAAAGCAUUAUUCGUCUCCUUCAGAUUUUUCCAUGCUUAAGAAUCUGAAAAAGUUAAGUUCCACACAUGGCGACUCUUAUCUUUGUGAAAAUCUCCCUAAUUGACAAUAUUUUGCACUAAAAGAAUGAAAUUCUAGAAUUUCAAGAAUAACGAAGGUCUUUGGAAAUUACUUUUGGUUGCAAAUACGAAAACCUUACACAAUUCAGAAAGUGGAUCCAUACUGUAGUCAUCUUUGCUGCCGUUGACGUCCUUAAUAAAUCCUUGCAAGAUCUUCUUUCGCGUAGUCCUUUUAUUCCUGCAGAUAUAUUGUUCUAAUACCAUAAAUAAUCUGAAUUUUUGUUGGAAGAGAAAGUGGAACCAUACCGUAGUCGUCAUCGAUAAGCGUGACGAAUUAUAAACUGGAGAUGAACGCUAGGGUUCUGUGUGCAGCGGCGUUUCGAGGAUCGCAAGCCUUGUCGUUUUUCAUGCCUUGCGGGUGGACGGUGGUGAUAUAUCGAUCUAGAUCUCCCAUUAACGUGACUAUUCCCGACUGUUAGCCUUCAAAAUCAAAAGGGAGAAAAUAUUUCAAGUAAAUUUGUUACAUAGUUUUAGAGUUUACAAAGGAGAUUGAUUGUUAAAUACAGAGAAGUGAGAAGUCAAUACGGUAAUGAUAUGAGUUAAAAUGGAAGAUGCGAUUAAACGUGUGAAAGAGGAUGUGGGAAUGAUUUAUCUGUGAAUGUGGGAGUGCAAGUGACUCAAAACGGACUAACUCAAGGAGAGGGAGAAGAAAAGUUUUGGUUGCUCUUCAACGUGUCAUAGACUGAUUAGUGGUUCAUUGAAGAUGUCACAUGGUAACACGACGUUUUAGUUCAUGGGCUUUGAAAUGGGCCAUAAACUCAAUUCAUUUUCUAUCUCGUCUUCAAAUGUUUGUUGACGUGGCUUCCUCUUAGGUGAGUUUUGUUUUGCUGAUGUGGACACUCUUAGAAGCCUCAAUUAGUUCCUUUUAUUAGUAAGAGAUGUAUAUAUAGUUAGAUUUGUAACUUUAAUUGUGAGUUACUCUUAAUUUUAAUUUUAGUUUUAAUUAAAGUAAAUGAAUAUGCUUAUAAUUAAAUUAAAUGAAUAUGCUUAUAUGCAUGAAAAUCAUCUUACCCGUUAUCUAUACCACUUUGCCACCAAAUUUAUCUACUUCAACUAUUAUCUAAAAGUUGGCUAUCUUCAUAAAUAACUCAAAAUCAGACAUGUAACAAAAACAGGAAAAGGGCUAAAUGGAGUGUAAUAUUAAAGUGCAUCAAUAUUGUGUUCCUUGUCUUCUCAAUUUAUUUGCAUAUGUACUCUUUGUUUUUGUAGGGAUGGAAUUCAAUAUUUGAUGUUGUUUGUAACUCUCUUUGUUCCUAACCAUGGUUCUUAAAAUCGGCCUAAACGCCCGACUAGGCACUCAUGAGGGUCCAUGCACCGCGAUUUCUUUCUAUUCGGUGACGCAAAUCGGUGGACCGGUUCAGGUGGUCUUUUUGGUCAUAAUCGGUCUAGAUGGUGCAAUUAUUGGUUUAUAAUUUGGUUAAGUUAUAUUGAAUUUUGCCUCGCUAAAGAAAUGAAGAGAAAAAUAAGAAAAACUUGAAAAUAAAAAAGAAACUAAAAGAAAGUUUUUUAAAAAAAUAUAGCUUAUAGCUUAUUGGAGAUUGUUUGAGUUUGAAUUUGAGAUUAAAAUAUGAAAUCUUUAUUUUUCAGUGAUUUGUAAUUUUAAUUUAACUAAAUUAAUAAGUUUAGUAAUUUCGCUUGAAAUCAUCUUACCCGUUAUCAACCAUUUUGCCACCAAAUUCAUCUAUUUUAUCUAAGAGUUGGCUAUUUACAUAAAUAACUAGAUUUUAACUCGCGGUACACUGCGGGAUGAUUUAAUUUUAAAGUUAGUAUAAAAAUAUUUUGUAAAUUGUAUCUCCUUAUAACAUAUUUAUUUAUAUUAUAGUUUACAAUUGUUAUUAAGUAACAGUAUACCACGAGUCCACGAGAUAAUUAUUAAUAAACUGAGGAUUUAACCCGUAUUAAAGCGGUAUAUAAAUAUUGAUUCAAAUUUGUCCGCCAUAUAAAUCAUUUCCGAAAUAUAACCCGUUCCGUAAUUUCUUAACCCGUCCUGUGAUUUGUAUUAAAAAAAAAAAGGAUUAAAUCCGUAUUGAAGCGGCGGAUUAAUGAUAUUUUAAUCUUUUUAUUAUUGUUGAUUCAAAAACCCGUCCCGCCAAACCCAUCCCGCCAAAAAACUCAUUUAUUUUAUUAAUGUUCUUAUUUAUGAUAUGAUUCUGAAUCAUUGUCUAAAUAUUUUAAUCGAUGUAGAACGUUGAACACACAUUUUUGUCAAUUGGAUAAUAUAUGUUCGUUUUUAAAAUUUCGAAUCACAGUAUAUGCAGAAAAAAAAUUGAUUUUUUUUACUUUAUAUAUUAUAUGAUGAUUCAAAACAGUUAAAAACAAAUCAAACAAAGAUGAUAGGAGAAUCAUAAUUAUAAAUCUUAAUCAAAUCUUCUAAAAAUCUAAAUUAUUAAAUAUGGAAUAUCCGGUGUAUGAGUUGGGUUAAAUAUAACCCGACCCAACAAAUUUUUUAUGAAGGAAUUUUUAAAAUGGGUCGGAUAUCCGAUAUACCCGAAAGUUUUUUUACCCACCCGUCACAAAAAGUGUUGCGAUUAUACUAGUAUAGACUCAUAAACUAGACAUACAUGUCUUUAGCCACAAAGACCGUUAUCUAAUUAUAAUAACAACCAAGGUCGACACUUUCUUAGUGACCCUAACUAUAAGUAAAACAAUCUAAGAUUGUUCAAUCAUUUGAUAUCAAGAAUCAAGAACCAAUUCAGCAGGUUAGGAGAUAGAGAGAGAUAUAAAAUAAAAACCUAGCUGCAUGAUUCUUUCUCUGUCAGUAGCUUAGAUGCGGUUGCACAUUUCCGUGUGGAUGACCCCACCCGUACGUUUUCAGUUUAUCCAGCCCCGGCAUCUGGACAAGGUUAAAACAAUUUGUGAGGUGGUAUUAUUGCAACACGGAAAACUCUAAUAAACCUGGAGUUCUUUCUAACAUGAUACAGUUGCUCACGUAGAACGAGCUCAACCUUUUUUGUCAACAGAUCUAGCAUGGAUUGAUUUAGUCCCUAAGCGACCAUCCACUCUGAUGGUGAUCUGUAGACUUGGAAGACAAGCAAAAUCCGUUCGUUAAUCUUUGAAGUUGUUGUCUCCUAGAUCAAUUUCCUUAGAGACAAUGGAAUCAAUUCAUCAAAUAGAUUGCAAGAACAUAAACGUGAAGUCUUCAAGCAGCUUAAACCGUUUAAUGAGAAUGUAAGAGAUAGAUCAACAAGAGAACUUUCUGUCUUUCCAUAAACUUUUUUCUGCCAUAAAGAGACAAUUCUUUCAGUUGAUUACUCUGAGACGGAUAUGCCUUAGAGUGGUAGAAUCGGCUUUAAGAGUUGUCAAGGAUUCCAAUUCACCUAAAGCAUCGAUAUCUCUAGCUGAAUAAAAAAAUAAAGUUAAAAUUCAGGAGGACCAAUAGAGAGUUAACUUCAAAACCUUAUUUUCUUAUAAUAGAUAGAUGUCUUUUCCACAUAACGACUUAGGUUAAUAAGAUAUUUUUUUCAGAACUCAAUGGAAAUACAUGGGGCUUUGUUUCCUGACAGAUAACGGAAUAGAUACGACGUGAUAGCCAUCGGUCCAUGUUAUACUCCCAAAGUAGUAGAUGGAAUUGCUCUGGUGAGUAGUGGAGACUGUAACUUCAAAGCUCAGCUUCUUGACAAAGCAGUUGAAAACCAGUAGGGUGGGCGUGACGGUGAUCUCGACACCCAAAGGAGCUUGAAUGAUGACUCUAUAUAUAGAAUCGACUGGUCCAACGUUGGUGACGGUUCUAGUGACCGUCACGUCUGCAUUGAGGAAAGGGAUGGUGAUGGACGGGAGGUUAAGAGCAAGCAUCGAUGGCCUAGGGCUAGGACAAUGAUACAUCAUACUUUUCUUUGCCAUUUUCCCGAUGGAGGCCUCCUCAUACCCGGCAGCACAUAAAUAUCCCAUGUAGUCUUCUGCGUAUGCGUCGUACACGAGACCAGGAUCAGCUGCUUUGGUUGGAUUCCCCAAUCCUCCUCCGUAGUCAAACGGAUCGGCUAGUUUCCGGCUGUCUCCUUCCGUGAAGAUCGGUUCUCCGUAAGGAUCAGUUUUGGAAGCUUAAUCAAUUGAGAAGAAGAAACUCAUUAGAUCACUAUGUAUUUACAUGUAACAUAAUCAAUUUUAAAGAAUCCCUUAAUAUUACCAGUAGUAACGAGAGCAGAAUGAAUAGCCGCAGGAGACCAGUCACUAUGAACAGCUUUGAGGAGCGCAACCACACCGGUAACCACAGGAGCGGACAUCGACGUUCCAGACAGAGCAAUGAAACCAUUCUCGGCGCCUUCUAUAAAUGGGAUGCUAGCAGCCAAGAUAUCUACACCUGGAGCUGCUAUAUCAGGCUGCAAAUAUUACGUUGGUAUAUAUGAGUUGAUGAAUAUAUACAUAUAGAAUUGGGUGUAUAUGUUUUAGAAACACAGAUUAAGUUGUUACCUUCAGAAUGUAAGGAGACAGAGAGUUUGGUCCUCUACUUGAGAACUCAGCGACUUGAGUUGCUACAAGUGGACCAGUGAGUCUUAUUUCAGUGCUUAUCUUAAUGGUUGGCAAGCUGUGAUUCCAAAAACAUUAAGCAAUGUUAACUUCACAUGCAAACUAGAGAUUAUAGAUAAAUAAUAAGUACGUAUACCUAUUGGAACCUAUGUACUUCAUCAUCGUAGUUCCCUCUUCAUAGUCGAUCAUGAAUAACACCAGUUCACGUUUGUCAUAUCCGAUAACAUCAAUGCUUUUGGAGGAAAUGAUUAGAGCUGACAAUCCCGCUAUCAAAGCCCGAUCGACAAAUUCUCCAACAAAAUAUUCACUCUCAGUCAAGAAAGCUAGGACGGCUUUGCCCUUGGCGGCACUCGUUAUCUGGUUGUAGCUUACUACGUAAAUUAGAUCAGCUUGGAAUUCAUGUCCCUUGUACUGGUUUCUUGCCUACAAAGUAAAAUAUUGUAUUAGAAGAGAUCACAUGCUCAUGUUGUUGUUAAAGAAGAUUCAACUACGUACACAAAGACAAAGAGUUAUGUUUUACCAAUAUAGUUAUGUUGUUGCCUAGUACCAGUGGGGUAGGAAACGACCGGUCGAGAGUUGUGGCUGAGACAGUAAUUACCCACGGAGGUACGUUACUGACUGUGUAAGCUUGGGGGCCGUCGUUUCCGCCGGCACAGAUCACCGGAAUGCCUUUUGAGAUGGCAUGGAAUGCCCCGUAAGAGAUCGCAUUAUGCUCGUUGGAUUCAGGGAGUAUAGGGACGGACCUGCCUAGUGAGAGCGACAUCACGUCCACCCCGUCCUCUAUCGCAUCGUCCAUGGCUUUUAUAAUGUCCAUAGCCGCGCAGCUAUUUUGAUUUUGCCAGCAAACUUUAUAAACAGCUAUUCGAGCACUUGGCGCCCCGCCUCUUGCCGCGCCCACUCCGAACCAUUUGUUGCUCACAUUAGCGACGAAUGCACCUCCAGCUGUGGAGGCCACGUGUGUCCCGUGACAUUCACUAUCCCUUGGUGACAUGUAUUCCUUGGCCUCCGAUUUUGUGGUCUCCUUCUUGUUCAGUUUGGAAACCGUCGUAAUAACGUGUGACGUUUAAGUAUUUUGACAUUACUUUAACAAAAGACGUUUAUUUCUAUGUCUAAUAUUGACUCUGUUUAAGUAAGUUUAGAGAGUGUUUUAUGUGACACAAAAAUCAAAAUCUCUUUUUUUUGCACAACCGAUGUAAACUGAUGCAAAUUAUUUGCUUUCAAAAUAUUGUAAGUCAGUUUUGAUUGUGACGUUCAUUAUUCGACGUGUACCAGCGUUUAUCUUGUAGUUCUUGAAGUCUACAAUAAUUAUAAAAACAUGGAAUAAAGGGGUUAUUGGUUCAUGGAUUUAUAAGGAAUUAAAAAUUCAAACAAAAAUCAUUUGUUAUUCAAUCAUUGAUUUUAAAAUCCUAAUUAAAAUCAUGUGUUAUUGGUUCUAUGAUUUAUAAAUACUAGUUAAAUUCCUAUAUUAUUGGUUUAGUAAUUUGUUUUUGGAUUUGAGAAUCCAAAUUAUGUUUUAAAUGGAUUUGUAUGGAAUUGAAAGAGAAAAAUAGAAGGAUUCAAAUCCAUGAGUAAACACAUGUUAUUUCAAAAUCUAUAUAUCUUGAUUUCAUAAUUAAUAGAGAUUUCCAAAUUCUAUAUGGAUUUACAAAUUAAUAAACCAAUAACAUCCCCUAAGACUCUGCUCUGCAAUUGACGCUGCUAAUGCAACUGCAAAAAAGGAGAAUUUAACUCAGCAAAGAGAGAGAAUUUAAAUCAACAAAGAGAGAGAUAUAACCAAGUGUUCUUAGUCUAGUGGUUGCCACUUGUGGAGGAGUUGCCCUGUUGGUCUAGGCCAGAGAUCGAUUCUCCGCAAGCGCGCAAUUGCUAGAUCUCCACUUGGCCACAUGGAUAUGGGCCCUUGCUUUCGGCCCAUUUGCAUACCCGGAGAGAGAGUCUAUCUGUAGGCUGCACCUCCCCCAGGGGAUUAGUCUGGGCCCCUCCAUAGGUCUGAGAUUCCUCUGAGUUAUAAAAAAAAAAAAACAAAGAGAGAGGGUAAAAUGAUUAAAAGAAAAAAACGGGAAUAGAAUAAAUUUAUAUCAUAAAUUCUAACUACCAGUUGUUACGUAAUUUCCUCUUUUGGAAAUUCUGAACUCAAUUCCAUCUUUUGCUUUAUUUAUUUUUAUUUGAUAUCACUACAAAUAUUUAUAAACUUCGAGGAUAAAGUGGUUGUUUUAGAAAGAAAAAUAAUCUAGGUAAAUUAUAUUUUUCAGGAUUUUAUGUUUAUGCAUUGGUGUUCAUUAAUUUGUAAAUAUAAUCCUGUUCGUAAAAGACUACUGUUAAUUUUAUGGUAUAAAAAAAUUGUUCAAUUUCCCAACACCAAAAUAUUAUUUUUUUGGUGUUCAUUAAUUAUUGGCUGUAAUCAUGAUUGUAAGCUAACAUUGUAAAAUUUCUGUAAAAAUUUAGUCAUGAAAUAUUAACGUCCAAAAAUUUCUGUAGGAAUUAUGUUUCAAUAGUUACCUGAAUGCUGAUAUCAGCAUAUUUCCUUUUACCCAACGUUAUUUUUGGGUGUUGAUACACACAAGUAAAGCGAAAAAAGCUUGAUUUUAUUUGUUGUCUUGCUGUCUCUUUCAAGAAAUUCAACUUGAAGUUGCACCAUCAUUACACAUCUAUCGUUAGAUUAGAGGUUCGGAGAUAGAUAGGGUGGACGAAUAGAUGACUUCUUUAGUGUAAAAAUAAAAAAGAGAAAAAAGAAAGAGGUUCAAAUUAAGGAGAGGUCAGAGUAGACAUGCUCAUAUUCUUGGCCUGUCAUUAUUUCAUCAAAAUUCAAAUUAAGGAGAGGUCAGAGUAGACAUGCUCAUAUUCUUGGCCUGUCAUUAUUUCAUCAAAAUUCAUUAUAAUUUGCUCUUUUUAUCAUUUAAUUUGUUCAUUAUAAUUUCCGGUUGUCCCAAACAAAAAAAGUCCAUUAUAAUUUCCUAAUUUACUAACAUUUCCCUUCAUCUUGUUUCAAUGUACAUCCCUUUUAUGGUUACUUGUUCUGCUACGCAUGAUAGAUACGCCUUCACAAUCCAAAGUCAAAUAGGAGAGUUACCAUUUUUAACAUUUUAAUUAUAUAUUUCGUUACUUUACUUUCAUUUUUUAUAACUGCACUAAAGUCAUAAAACUUAGUUUGUAUAAAGUUAUAAACUUAACCCAAACAUGCACCAAUUAUAUUUACAACAUUCCUAAAUUUAAAAUUAUUGAUAAAAAUCAUAGAAGCUUAGUAUUUUUGAAAGCUCAUCAUAAAGAAGAGCUGAAAUUAAAAAUAAAGUUUUACCAAAAAAUUAAAUUAAGUUAAUUACAACAGUUAGGUUGUAAUCAAGAUGAUUAAAAAUUAUAUUUUGUUUAGACGGUGUUAUCAUUCGUAAAAUAAUGUAUUAUUACAAAUGAAAAUUUUGAUAUUUAUAUACUAUUAAGAAAAAUUCCAAUAAUCCCUACAAAUAAAAAACAAAACUUCCAAACAAUUUUUUGGAUACCCGUGAAGUUGGGCCGCAGCCCAUUCGUCUCUACGUGUCAAAAUGAAGUGAUUUUUUUUUUCCUUCUUAAUAAAUGAAGUGAAGUGAAUUUCGAUGAUAUGAUAUUAUGAUUGUUUAUUAUGAGUAUCUUAAAUUUGGAGAAACUUAACCCAAUUGUUUUUUAACUAAUAUUUAAAUAAUAUAUAUAUAUUUUAUUAUUUAUUAAGAAUCAUGUUUAGAAACCCCUAUUAAGAAUGAUCUAAUUGCCGUAUUGAUUGAUGGUUUCUUACGUGUUAGUCUACUGAGAGGGAAAUGGCCAUUAUGAUUGAGCGAUCCGUUGCUCAUGUCUUUUUAAAUGGUCCAAGUGAUAAGUAACCUUUAUACUAAGGCCACUUUAUACGAAACCAAAACGAAGGAUGCAUCCGGUAUUUAGAUUAUUGUUGAUUUUGCUUUUUUUUUUACCAAAAUCUUUUGAAAAUCCCAUUUUUACAAAAAAAUUAUUGAUUUGUCAUUUUUUAACACUUAAAAAUGUAAGUAUUUACGAUUUUUUUUUACAAAAAUACGUACUUUAUACCAAAUACUAAACCCUAAGAACAAAUGGAACCGACUAAACCCAAACAUAACGGAUAAAACGCAUGUUAAAUCACUCUGAAAAAUGGCAAAAUCCACAAACUAUUAAAAAAGGGCAAAAUCUACAAAUGCCAUUAAAAAAAUGGCAAAUCCGUAAUUGAUUCUCCGGUAUUUGGAAUUGGAGUGUUCCAAAAAAUUUGAAUUAAGGAUUAUUGUACACUUCGAACUUACCAAGAUUUGUAAUUUGAAGCUCAUGUUAUGCAGUCCUAAACGUUUUAUUUAAACUUAAAGCUUUAGGGGGUGUAUUCAACUUAGUAUUUUAGAAGAUUUUUGGGUAUUUUUAAAGUCACGUGUUAUUGAACUGGAUAUUUUUAAAAUAAUUCUUAAAUCUUCUGUUAUUGAACUUGAUAUUUAUAUAAAGUCACUCAAAAUAAUUCACAAUCUCUUGUUAUUCAACCAACAAUUUGUAAAUAUCAAAUCAAAUAUACUGUUAUUGAAAAUUUCACUAUUUUUUCAUAAACGAUUACUAAAACUGAUUUUAGGAGACUUUAUACACUUUUUUAGUUGAAAAAUAUGACUGCAAAAUCACAUCUCUAUAGGUGAAACUUUGAAAGACUUCCAAGAAAAACAAUUGUAUCGAGAAAAAAGUAGAGCUAUUGACCAAAUUUAUUUUCACUCUAUUGACACCUCUCGAAGUGAUAGUUUUCCAUCUCUUGUCUUCUUCCAUUGAACUUGCAGUUCCAGGAACAAUCGCAUAGAUAAUUGAAGGAUUUCGCGUCGCGUCGCUCCUUGUCACUCUCUCCAAUUGCUAUCUGCCAAAAUCCUUUGAUUAUUUUUGGAUUUCUCUUGAAAUCUUUCGAGAGUUCAGAUGUCGUUGAAAUCACAACUAGCUAGUUCUGUCAUCACACUCUCUUCUCUGCAUUCUCUAAAUAACAAAGAAAAGGCUUCUUCUUGUGUCUUCUCUGGUGUUCUUAUUUACAGAACUGGGUUUUGAUGCUUCUUCGGUGUGUUAUUAAAAAAACCAGUUUUGGGAUUAUAUGAUUGCUAGUGUUCUGUUUUUGUUAGUCUUUUUGAGUAACGAGCUCUUACUUUCUCUUUUAUGUUAAUUUCCUAUGCUUUUUUUUUUUGUAUGGCAUGGCAAAUCUUAGCCAGGUAGCCCCAUUAGACUCUUGUGAACUCUUACCGUUGUGUUUCAUGUGCUAUUAAAUAAGGGCAUUCUGCCUAAUCUCCUGCAGGUGUUAGGUUCUAUGAUACCAAUGAGGAGGAGCCUCUGUUAAGUUCUAUGAUGUCUUUACAAAUUCGAGUCCAUGCCAUUAACUUGCAUGCUUUACUAAAAAUUUGGGUGGGAAAUUGAUCAGUAUGAUUCUCUUUGCAGCCACAUGCAUGUUGAUUUUAGAUUGAAAUUGCAUGGUGGAGAUCUCAUGAAGAGAGUUGCUAGCGCUGAUCCACGGGCUGCACCAUUAAAAUAAGGCUCAAGACCUCAAAGACAUACACAAAAAGGCAACAGACAUGUAAAAUCAACAGUCCCAAGCGUACUUCUCAUCAAUCAAAUCCUCUUUUACUCCAGAACGAUAACAACAUCGAACAUGAAAAAUUACUUGCUUAGAGAAUCACAACCUCGGUGUAUUAAAAUCCCAGCUUUCUUGUUCUUUUUUGGUGUUGAGUUCUGUUACUUUCAUAUACUGUUUCUUUUGGAUUUACAAAAUCCUCACCUAUCCUUAUAGGAACAUCUGUAACUUUUUCAUAUAUUAUCUCUUGAAAUAAGUUCGUAGUUAUUUUAUCACUUUUGCUUUGCAGAAUAUAUAAAGCAAUGAAUGAGAAGAAGUCUACAAGAGGCUUCAUGAGUCAAACAAUUGAGGAAGUCCAUGAAGAUACUCUCUUUUCCUAUGUGCACUUCCCCUUCACAUGUUCUCGUAAGAGAUAAACGUAUAAACAAUAAACUUGAGAAAAGCUUUGUCUCCUCUUUUUUAUGUCUCCUCUAAUUGCAGGUUUUCAUUGAUGGGAGAAUACAUAUGCUGAAUUCGUAUAAUUGAGUCAUGUACUCUUCUUUGCUCGUUGAGCUAUUUCGUGUUUGUGUUUUGUCAUUGUGAGAAAAGGGGCUAGAGCCAAAUUUUCUUUUGUUUGUUCUAAAAUCACCCAAAGUUUGAUAAUAAAAUCUCACCAAAUCACAAAUCAUUAUUCUUUUUUUACAUUUAAAAACUCUAAUAAAUAAUCAAAUUCCCUAAAAACUCACUCAAAUUUCUCAAAAAUCUAAAAUAUUCAAAUUCCACCAAAUCUCCUAAAGUAUCAAGUCGAAUACACCCCCCUAAAUCACUUUCGAGUUCUACCGAUUUCUUUUACAAAAUAUACUAGUUUAUUACUCCCUCUGUUUCAAAAUAUAAGGCGUUUUAGCUAAAAACACGCCGAUUAAGAAGAUCUACUUUAUCAAAGUUCAGCAAAUUAUAAAAGAGACUGCAUAAUAGAAAUAAUCAUAAAAUAUUAAAGUAAUAUAUAAUUGAUAAAUUGUUAAAAAUGCCCUUUUCUCAAUACCCCUUUUCAAAAAUGCCCCCUUUGAGAGUCCAUUUUUAAGUUUGCCCUCUUUUAAUUUUUAAUGACCAUUUUACCCUUAUUUGAAACAAAAUUAGGUCAACAAAAUACAAAAUAUUUUUUGGCGGGAAAAGUGAUCCCGCAAUUUUCCCGCCAAAACACUUGUAAAAACCUUGUAAAUUUUUCCUGCCAAAAAUUUUUUUUUGCGGGAAAAGUGAUUCCGCAAUUUUUUUGGCGGGAAAAAUUUACAAAGUAUUUUAAAGGUUUUACGGAGUAUUUACAAGUGUUUUGUAAGGUUUUACAAUGUAUUUUAAAAGGUUUUAUAAGAUAUUUAUAACUUGUAAAACCUUAUAAAAAACUUGUAAAACCUUAUAAAAUAGCUUGUAAAAUCUUAUAAUAUCUUAUAAAUACCUUAUAAAUACGUUGUAAANNNNNNNNNNNNNNNNNNNNNNNNNNNNNNNNNNNNNNNNNNNNNNNNNNNNNNNNNNNNNNNNNNNNNNNNNNNNNNNNNNNNNNNNNNNNNNNNNNNNCAAAUUAAAUAGUGGAUCGCUCUUUCUACAGGAAAACGAUCCUACAUCUCUAAAUGGAUAUUCUAAAACGCAACCGGCUGAAAAUACCUCUUUAUAAGCCCCAUUAAAUUUGUCCAUUUAUUAAAGGGUACGGAAAUUUUUACCAAGUAUUUUAAAGACUCUUCAAGUUUUUAAAAGUGUUUUGGCGGGAAAAAUUGCGGGAUCACUUUUCCGGCCAAAAAAUAUUUUGUAUUUUGUGGACCUAAUUUUAUUAUAUUUCCUUAUAUAUUUGUGAUAUCUUUUAUUAAAAGAAGAGUAAUUUAGUCAUUUUGUACAUAAAAAGGGUAUUUUAAAAAAUGGACAGCCAAAAUGGGCAUUUUUGAAAAGGAUAUUGAAAAAGGUGCAUUUUUGUGAAUCUCCCUAUAUAAUUUGCAUAGAAACUUGAAAACGACUUAUAUUUUGAAACAAAAAAAGUUUUUCCAAAACUCUGUAUAAGAAAGACAUGUUAUAAAUGCUGACUUUUUGAGUUCAUAAAUUUUCAAGGCUCAAUCGAGCGGAAUACAGGUACAGAGAGGACAAUCAAUUUUGGGUAAGCCAUGUUGGGAACAUCAAAUUGUCUUGGAAAAUAAAUUCAAAUAUUAAAAGGUUAAUGUCUUUUUCUAUGUAAGAUCAUCAUCAUCCAUUUUUUUUCUUUUUCUUCUGAGUGCAAUAAUGAAAUAAUUGCAAUAGAAAUGAAUCAUUCAUGUUACUUCUCUAUUUUUAUAUCGCAAAGAAAUCCCAUCGAAUUUUAGAUACAAAACAGACAAACAUUAAUAAAACAGACAAACAUUAAAUAAAGAUAUAGCCUUAUUGGUGCAUGCAUUUGCGUGCUUGCAAUGAUAAUGUAUUCAAAAUUGCCCCGGUCAAUUGUAAAUUUGUAAUGAAGACUUGUAUGAUAUAAUACUCUUUCCGUUUCGUUUUAGUUGUCGUUUAAGGUUUUUUCACACAAAUUAAGAAAAUCAUUAAAUUUUCUGUUUUACCCUUUAUUAAUAUAUUUUAUAAAAAAAUUUAUUGGCCGAAACAUUAAAAUAGUAGAGAUAAAACUAGAAUUUUCACCAAACAUUUGCAUCGAAAUCCUAAAACGACAACUAUUAUGAAACAAAAAUUUAACUCUAAAACGACAAGUAAAACGAAACGGAGAGAGUAUUAUUGUAGAUAUCUAUGCUUAUUUAUUUAUGUUAGCAUGUUUAAAGAAUGAUAAACCUACAAAGUACAAACUCUUGGUAAGAAAGAAAAUUAUUAAGUUCGAAAAGAAGAAGAAGAAGCUGGUAGCUGAAUGCAUAAAACAAUUAAGUUUAGGCCGCCAGUGACUUUAGUCUUCAUUAAAAGUGUGAAUACUUAGGUUAUGUCACGCAUGACUCAUGGAGUGAAAAAACAAAUACGGGAAACCUGCUACUAACUUCUUUCUUUCUUUUUUUUUUUUGUUUGCCAAAAAUACAAAAUUAAAUCUGAAUGGUGAGAUAACAACCUAACCUUGGUUCAAUAAAUCAAGAAUAGAUCAAGGUAGUGCCGUUUGAUUAAUUGCCGUGGCCAUUAAAUAAUACCCUCUUUUGAUUUGAAUAAGAAAUAAAACACGUUAAUGAACUUGAUAUUUAUAAUUAUAUUUUUAAAAAACAUGAAACUUAUAUAUAUUAUUACAUAUUCGUUGACAACACAAAAUUUGGAUAUAAAAGUACAAAAGAGACAGAUUGGCGUUGGACGAGGGAAGGAGCUGUGGGAGGCUCAUGUGGGCUUCUUCUGUUCGCCAUAUAACUAAUUUCGAUUUUUUAUUUUUUUUUUUUUUUUUUUUUUUUUUUUUUUUUUUUUUAACAUAUUAAUUUUUACCCAAAUAGGCUUAAACGAUGAUGGGCUUACACGGCCAAUCGGCCCACAAAAAGGAGAAGAAUAAGUCAACACGACCUAGAUCGGAGAUCUGAAAAAGGGUGGAAUCCGGCAGCACCAGCACCACCUCCAAGCUCCGGCGAUAACAAGAGGCCCUUCGUUGUUGCUCCAACCCGACACGAGCGACAUGACAGGAGUUAUCGAUUUUCGUGUAUACGUAUGCAAAUUUGUCACCUAUAAAGUCAUACAGUGAAUCCUACAAAAUUAAAAGUGUUCAGAUAAUUUGGUUGAGUAUGUAAUGGAACAUUUGAGGGAACUUGGAUUCUAUGAAAAUUGUUUAGUGGUUUUCAAAAACUAUUUCAAGUUCUCCAUUUUUCAGUUAUACUGUAUGUUAUAGAAUUUUCACCCUUCUUUUUAAACAUGUUACAACACCGAAUCUAACAUCUUUCUAGUAACUAAACGUAUCAAUUUAAUUACGAGUUUUGAUUCUAGUAUUAACUUUAAUUGGUAAUCAUUAAUUUUUUUUACUUGAGGAAAAAACAUGUAAAUACGCUAAAACAAUUAUUUACGUGAAAAUUGUUCGGUAAAUAAAUUUCAAGAAUUCUUUAUGAACCUCCCAUAUAUCGAUUAACCGCCAAAAUCCCACCAAAAGCAAUUUUAUUUUACCUCCAAUACCAUAAUCAUUAUCCGCCACAUUUUUUUAAUUACAUUAUUUAAGCCCUAUAAUAAUACCAAUUAUGUAUUCCAAAAAAAAACCAUUUAAAUACAAAGCUCUCUCUCUACCGAUUUCUUCCAAUCCAAAAUAGAUUUUUUUGUUUGCAUUCUACAUAAUAACAUCAUCAACACAACAAAGGUUUCGUCUUGUCACUUUAUAUUAUUAGCCUACUCGUGUUUCUCUUGAUUUGUUUUUUAUUGACGACUUGAGGGAAUACGUUGAUUUUGUAGAUUUUUAUCCACUAAUGGAAGAUAAUAAGCAGCGAAGCAGAUUCAGAAAAAUUUGUGUCUUUUGCGGAAGCCACUCUGGUCACCGAGAAGUUUUCAGUGAUGCUGCCAUCGAACUCGGCAAUGAACUCGUUUGCUCUCUAUCUUUCUCUUCUUUUGGUUUUGUGAUAAAAAUAUGAACUUUUCGUCAAAUCAAUACAGAUAUCAACUUUUUUGCUCGGUUUUUGAAUGUCAAAAUACCAACUUUAUAGUUUACUUGUUCAUUUCACACAAUGGGUUUUGAGGAUUCUAUUUGUGCUUGCGUCUAUUGUAAGCUUUUGUGGUUUUGGCCUUAUUUGUUGACUCUUUAAAUCUGGGGAUGUUGUUAUUUGAAAAACUGUGAAAUUUCUUGAAGUGUUGUGUGAUUGGAUUUUGUGAUUUUUGGAAAUUUUAGGUGAAGAGGAAGAUAGACUUGGUUUAUGGAGGAGGAAGUGUUGGAUUGAUGGGUUUGAUCUCCAGGAGAGUCUAUGAAGGUGGUUUCCAUGUACUCGGGUUAGUUUAAGACUCUCCAAUUAGUUUAUAGCUCUUUCAGUUUCAAACUUUCUCUAAGGGUUUCUGAUUGGAUUCUCUGUGAUUGCAGGAUCAUUCCCAAAGCUUUGAUGCCAAUUGAGGUAUGUAUCUUCUUAUAGAAGCUCAGUUUUUUUUUUUUCUUUCUUCCAGGAACUAGCAAACUUGGAUGGAGUUUUGAAGUUUGUCUAAUGAUGAAUCAUGUGUCUGGAAGUUAUUCAUUUGUUUGCACUACUAGCUCUUGGUUCUUGCCUACGUUUGUAUGAUUUAAGAUCAGGAGAGGAAACUAUGUUCUUGGUUUUUGUUGUUUGGUUAAAUUUGGGAUUGUGUGGUUUUAUCUUUCUUUCCUCGAAUCUCAUGACUUUGGUUUCAUCAGAUAUCUGGUGAGACUGUGGGAGAUGUAAGAGUUGUUGCAGACAUGCAUGAGCGAAAGGCUGCAAUGGCACAGGAAGCUGAGGCCUUCAUUGCACUCCCUGGUGAGUUAUCGUUUUUCAUACUGAUUCUAGCAAAGUUUUAAACUUUUGGCUUGAAAACCACGGAUGUUUGUUUCAGGAGGUUAUGGAACAAUGGAGGAGCUGUUGGAGAUGAUAACAUGGUCACAACUUGGUAUCCAUAAGAAGACGGUAUCUAACAUUUCCUUUGCUCGGUGGAAGAAGAAGUAGGCUACUAAUACCUCUGUUGAUUCGUUUGAAAUUGUUUCUGCAGGUUGGUCUACUGAAUGUUGACGGAUACUAUAACAAUUUGCUUGCUUUAUUUGACACCGGUGUCGAAGAAGGUUUUAUCAAGCCAGGUGCACGUAACAUUGUGGUUUCUGCUCCAACAGCCAAAGAGCUUAUGGAGAAGAUGGAGGUACAUUAACUUUGCCUUCCCUUUUCUUCUUGUUAUGAGGUUGUGCUUUUACUUCUAUCUUAUAGAGAAGAAAUCAAUGAUUAUCUCUUAGUGAACACAAUUUCCUUGAAAAUCAAAAGGAACACAUGCGGUUUCGAUAAGACAUUGUUGGUAUUAUUGUGUAAAACAUAGUUAAGUGGGAGUGUGUUCAAUAAUUUUGUUUCUCAAAAAGAAUUCAUAAUCUUGGCAGGAAUAUACUCCUUCACACAAGCAUGUUGCAUCGCACGAAAGCUGGAAAGUUGAAGAACUCGGAGAUUACCCGGGACAACAAAACAAGCCGCAAUAAAAAAAACUAUUAAUGUUAGCAUAAGCUACUUCCAUUUCAAGUUUAGUCUCUAAAUUAUUUGCAGAAUCCACAAUGUGUAUAAGAAAACUCAAAUCUUGUUGCAAUAUGAAACAGCACAUUGGGUUCCCAAAAUGAAAGUGUUGCUGAUUAUGUAGUUAAGUUUGGUAUUUUGGGUAAAGAACCAAAAAAAACGAAAAAGACUUCACCUUUUGUGUUGUUAUGUUAAAUCUUUGGUUUCCCCUAAAGAAAGAAAGGAGGAAUCUUUUUGAGUGUGGGUGAUGCAGAAAAGUCUCACAAGUGUCGUGUCAUAGUGAAUGUCCAUUGAGAUAGGAGUGUGGUCCCUUGUUUGUAUCAUUCGAUGGCUUCAAUAGAAAAGCACAAAAUGUGAAUGAUGUGUGACCAAGUUGGACAUGGAUGGGUUUCUUCUUUUUUGCCAAGUGCCUUGUGUGGUGGGGAUUGAUUGGCUAUCUUUUCCUCUUUUUAUUUAUUUUGUGUGUCACAUUCUUCUUUCUACGUUGGAUCAAUUUGAUUAGGUCAUUGACUAGUUUAAAGGUGGUGAUGAUGACCUUCAUGGUAUUAAAAGAUGAUUUUAGAACGUGUUUUUAGAUGGUGAUUAAGGUUUUUUACAAGAGAUUCGGUCAUACUUUGAUUCCUCACCACUAUUUAAAUAGAUAAAUGAGUACAAAGAAAUCCGCUGGAAGAGGGUAAAAUAUUUCUCUUAUGUCAUCGACAAUGUACCGCAAAACACUAAUAAUAGCUUCAAAAUUUGUACUCAAAUUGCUUAACCUUUUCUCUAAAUUUUGUUUACAUCGGCCUAAUAAAUAUACUUAGUUGUUUGAACAAUGUUAUGGGUACUAAAUUAGUUGAAUGUAUGUUUUGAAUCUCGCACAUAUGGGUUCGAAAAUCUACUUCGAACUUCAUUAUAUUCUUUGUCGAGGAUAAUCUAAUGUUUGGAAAAGAUUUCAAAAUCAUAACAUCUUUUGUGUUUUGGUAAAAUCAGUUAAAGAUACAUCUAAUAAUAACGGAAAAACGGUCUAUUUCUCCCCGAGAACUAUCGUAUCUGGCCAGAUAAAGCCCGAUCUUUGACCUCUGUCUAUAUACCCAUGAAACGGAAGUUAAAUGUUUAUUUCCACACCAAUUGAAAGUUCGAGAGCUUAAUGUCCAUGAAUCAUAAGUUCGAGAUUUAAAACCCCAUAGCGCUGGGUUAAUUGGUUUAUUGUAUACCAAACCGAUGCUUUAACCGAUUAAACCUAAUUAGAACCAAUCUAAACCCAAAUUACAACCUGUUCUUGGUUGAAAACAAUCUCAAGAUUUUCCGGAGUCGGCUUGUAACCGUAAACUUGUCGGAGCUAGAUUCUUCUGCGGUGGUUAUGAAGCAACCAACGGGAAAAUGAAUGAAACGACUGAGUUUCGUUCUCCGCGUGACUCCGAUGGACAUGGGACUCACACAGCUUCAAUCUCCGCCGGCCAUUACGUUUUUCCGGCGUCAACUCUUGGCUAUGCUCGCGGCAUCGCUGCUGGGAUGGCUCCGAAAGCUAGACUCGCCGCUUACAAAGUCUGUUGGAACUCCGGUUGUUACGACUCCGAUAUCUUAGCUGCUUUUGACACCACCGUAGCCGACGGUGUCGAUGUCAUCUCUCUUUCCGUUGGAGGCGUCGUGGUUCCUUAUUACCUCGAUGCCAUCGCCAUUGGAGCUUUCAGAGCUAUUGACAGAGGGAUAUUCGUCUCUGCUUCCGCCGGAAACGGAGGUACUGCUUGUUUACGGUGGUAGUUUACUCGGCGGCGAUGGUUACUCUUCGUCUCUGUGUCUUGAAGGCUCGUUGGAUCCGAAUUUGGUUAAGGGAAAAAUUGUUCUUUGUGACAGAGGAAUCAAUUCUAGAGCAACCAAAGGUGAAAUCGUACGGAAAAAUGGAGGCUUGGGGAUGAUUAUAGCGAAUGGUGUGUUCGACGGCGAAGGUUUAGUCGAUUUUUGGUUUUGAUGUGUUUUUUGGGUAAUGGGUCAUAAACAGGUUGUAAUUUGGGUUUAGAUUGGUUCUAAUUAGGUUUAAUCGGUUAAAGCAUCGGUUUGGUAUACAAUAAACCAAUUAAACCCAACGCUAUGGGGUUUUAAAUCUCGAACUUAGGAUUCAUGGACAUUAAGCUCUCGAACUUUCAAUUGGUGUGAAAAUAAACAUUUAACUUCCGUUUCAUGGGUAUAUAGACAGAGGUCAAAGAUCGGGCUUUAUCUGACCAGAUACGAUAGUUCUCGGGGGGGAAAUAGACCGUUUUUCCAAUAAUAACAAUCUUGAAACUUUAUCAUUUACUAGUCACACUUGCGUUUAGGGACCAAGAAAAGCUGAACUGGGGUGUGGGGGUUGGGACCCUUGAAGUACAUAUAAAAAAAAAGAAAAAAAAAAGAGAAAAUGAGAGAUGGUAAAAUACUAAAAUAGUAAAAUGUGAAAGUGUCACUUCAUUGUCAAACAUACUUGUCUCCCUCAGUUUUGAUGUGUAUGUCCUGAUUUGGUACCAAUAUAGGUUAAACCCCAACCUAAUUGUAGUUGAUGUUUGUAUCUCUUGCAUUAUGUGCAUGAGUGCAUCUCUCACUUUCUUUCCAUCUUUUCCCCUACAAUUUGGUUAACCGGUCUUUUUCAGUUUCUGUACCAACAACCAACUUGCACAUCCAUAUCUUUGAGUUUUCAUUCUUUUCCCUCAAGAUAUUAAUGAAUACAUACAAGAGAAGACCAUGGAAGAACAACUACACUUUCAGAGCUAAUAACAAAAUAUAAGACGCAACUCAUAUAUAAAUCAAACCGAAUCAAAAUUUGAGACCAAAUGUCCACUCAACUCUUAAUUAUGGGUCAUGAGGAUUGAUCGACAUCAGAGCCUUAGUGAUGACGUGUGUUCGCUAGAAAUGAUAUGUCUAUUCGUUCAUUUUGUUGUCUUUUCAGACGAUUCAAGUGACCUAAUCGGUAUCAAAACUCACUAGAUCAUUCAAAUGUCUGGCAUUUGAGCAAAAUGGAGAAAAAAUUAAGGACCCGAAGGUAGGUAUAACAUAAACCAAGUUGGUUCGUAUAUACCAGAUUCAUAGUUUGCACAAUUAGAGUAACAUGACAAAGGGAACUCAUAUUUCACAUUUUAGAUACCAAGUUACGUCAUAAAUUGAUCCCAAGCUCUGACUUUUAAUCUGUUCCCACAACUGGAAUAUCAAUGAAAUGAAACCCCGGAAUAUGAAAAUCUGACACCUUUACUCAUAAAUUCGGGAAAUAACUUGUGUUAAAUGCAUGCACUCAGCAAAUAUUCUUCGGUGUUUCUAUAUCUCUUUUUCUGAAUCUCUUUAGUCUUUAUCUUUUGAUGGGGAUGAUAAGAGAUGGUGUAAUGUUGCUGCUUGGAUAACCGCACUUGGGUUUGUAUCCUUUGGUGUGUGAGAAGGUGUCCGCCUUAUGUUGAAACCUCUUUCUAAACUGGUUUGUCUGGAACGCCGGAAUGACCGUGGAAGAUGUCUGAUAAGCCGUGAUGAAGUCACAAGUAAUACAACACCUAGCAUAAUAAGUAACCUGCAAAAAGUUUCAAGAAAUCUAUAGUUCUGAUGGCAAAAUCUAUUUGGAAAGAUCCGUUGCAACUUCUGAUUCAUGUGUACGUGAUGUUUCUCUAAUGACAGAUAGAAGUUGUCUUAACUGGCACACUAACAAUACAAGAAAGUAAUGAGUAGAACUUUACCAUCCCAGGAGAAGUAAAAGCCGUCCAGAUGGUGAAGUGGGUAAUUUCUCACCCAGAGCAAACAUUCCUGCAACCACACCUGUUACAAUUGAUGCCACAGCAGCGCAAGUGGAUACUACGAUUGCUCUCCCAUGUUUUAGUCCCCGAGUCUGGUAAAGUAAAAACAAAAAUAAGACUAGAAUCAAGAUUACAUAAAAACCCUGAAUAUCAACCUAUGAAAAAACUACAGGUAGAGAGAGAAUCCUUUAUGCUAUACACGAUGGUGCAUUACACAUUCAUAUGCAGAUAGGUAAGACUACGAGGAAGUGUAAAAAGACUAAGCUCGGACAAAGUACCUGGUAGAAAAAUCCUGUUCCACUACAGCAUAUACUAAUAGAAAUGCACAUGGGAAUGAACAUUGCAGAAAAUCCCUGCUCCACGAAUACAAAACCCAUCUUUGAUACUACAGAUGCCAUCCUGUGAUCAAACGAGUUAUAAACUGUUGUCAGCUAUGCACCAAGCUAUGAAUUCAGUUCAAAUAUAGUUUUUGUCUCUCUGAAAAUGAUUUGCAGACACACCACUACAUAGGUCCUUCUAUGUUCUAAAAAAUUAACAGCACAUAUCAAUGGAUACAUAGGAGAUAAUCGGUAAAUAUCAGAGGCUAGGCACAUAAGACGAAAUAUGCUCUUUGAUGUUUAUGGGUACCGAAAGAUACCCGAAUAAAAUCCCAGAUUCCAAGCCAUAAAUAAUUUCUUCCACCACUUCAUACUCCCCCUACAAACCAAAAUUAGGCUAAGUGCAUUUGGUAGGAGAAAUAAAAGUCAGUAACAUUAAAGGUGAUACUAGUUCUUAUAGCUGAAAACAAAUUAGACAGCUAAUAUACCAGCUCCUGCUCCCUGCGCUGGCGUUUGAAUAUAUGAAGCCACGCAUUUAGUAGUACCUAGUCCCAAAAAUCCAACAAAGAAGUUAUUAGAAACAUUGCCAUUACCUCACCAAUUAAGUAAUAUACUGAUAUUAUUUGCAAAAAACAAAUUAUAGACCCAAUUGUUUUACUGCUCAGACUUAGAAAAGAUGUAUACAAGUUCAGAGAAGCCAUCAGUCAGCAGAAGAUAAAAGGAGAUGAUGCCAGAAGAGGAACACUUUUCUAUGAAAUACCAAUACCAUGGAUGAAAGGUACCUACAAACAAGAUGGCAACAACCAAUGCUAGCCACAGCAACUGGAAGACCGAUAUUAAUGAUGCUUCUUGCUCCUCACCACCAGCACCAACUCCUACAGAAAAUGUAUAAAUCCUCACCACAUAUUAGGUGAUUUUCUGUAUGCAGAAGAUGAUAGUAAGCAACAGUCAAAGAAUCAAUAAUGAUUGAUGUUACCUAUGGUGCCAAUGCCGGCGACGGUAAUCCCAAUCCAGUCAAAAACAUUCAUGACUUCUUUCAGAUAAAAAUGCGAAAAGACGGAAAGAAUGGCAAGUCCACAUCCAGAGACUGGCUGAACAACAGACACCUGAAAGCAGCAGAUUUCCAAAAGCUCACAAUCAGGGCCUAAGGUUUAUCAGCACGGCAAAUUAUCAUAAACAGACAUCUCAAAGGCAACUAUCUUGACAUCAAAAUGAAAGAUUGAGAAAGUUUACUUACAGGGGCAAGUGAUAGUGCUCUCAGCAUCAACAAAGCCCCAACAAUGUCCAUAAGAAAACCUAACGCCCAUGGUUUGUUAACAGCAUAUGCUCUUAUCACCUGGAAUUCGUAAAUUAUGAUCAAAUGUGAGCUUCCCAUAGAUAAAUUGACCACCACCACCUCUAACUCAUCACCAUGAUUGACAUGACAAAUUCAAUGAAACAUGGAAUCGAGCCUCCGCAAUAAUUUGAAUCAGACAAUUUGACUCCGAUCCAAUUUCGAAACUCGAAUUUCACAAAUUUUCAUCGAAUUAGUUGUAUCACGAAAUCGAAUUCAAAUUUCCAGAAAGUAAGGUUAACGUUUUUUAGAGAUCCGUCCAAUCAAAUAGCAUGCAAUCAAAAUCCAAAGCAUCAAAAGGGCGAGACAAAAGAGAAAAUCGGAAGAUUAGAGAGAGAGAUUUACCUUAAGCUUGAGGGAGAGAGGAGGGAGGAUAAUAGUGCCCUUCUUCUGGAGAACUUUGCCGAUAUUGUUGCCGGCGGUGGCCGCAAGCGUUAGGCAAAUCGAUUCCCACAUCUCUCAAAACGCCGACGAGAAACGAAGCAAGCUUUUUUUAUGGAGGAAUGAUUUUUGCCGAUGUGUUACGUUAUUAUUAUUUACAUACAUGCCCCUCUUCCUAUUUUUAUUUAUUUAUUGACAUGUCGUGGUAAAUGGAAAUAUAGUAAUUUCCUUUUUUUAUAGCAAUUUUAUUCUAUGGUAACAAAACAAAAUUUAUCUCUGUGCUUUCAUUGAUUUUAUUUUAUCAUAUUGCUGAAAACAAAAAAUAAAAUACAAGCUGGCAAAAAAUUAAAAUAAGUAAGUAAAUUAUACAUGCUAAUUAAAUUUUAGGUUUUGAGUAGGUAAAUCGGUGCAAGUCAAAAAAGCUAAUGGCGUUUACAAGUCCAUUUUUUCAAAUUUUUUAAAAUACAAACUAUUUCAAAGUUAUUAUAAAACAUGUAACUACAAAUGUCAAGUGUAAAACAUAGCCAAAGAAAAUUAUAUUACGUUAUGAAACAUACAUUCUACAUAUAAAUGUAAAUGUAAACAAACAGUUUAAACCUAAAAACAUGUUUUGGCUAUUCUCUGGCAAAAGACUAAAUGUGAAAAUAUUUUUCCCAUUUUUUUGUUGGUUCAUAAUCAACCAUUUUAGCUGCUUAAAAUUUGGAAACUUCUUCACAACUUGGAUUUGGAAUAUGACUCGAGUACAAAGUAUAAACUAAUGGUACAUAUGCAUUUACGAAUCCGAUGGGUAUCUAAAUAUUUUUUUGUUUAGAAUGCUUCAUUAGAUUAAAUAACCCAACUUAAACAAGUUCAACAUAAAAAAACGUCGCUAACCAGUAACCAUGCUUAGCUAAUUCGUCCAUGCCAACACAUGAGCAGUCCUCUGCCCUCAAAAUUAACCGAAAACUGAAUAGUCGAGAAGGCGAGAUAUAUUUUAAAUUAAUUGUGUUGAUUGUUUUGGGUAUCUCAUUCAUUUUGUUGAUAUUGAAAUGACUUGAAACAGAGUUGUGAUAUGGGAUUUAGUAUGAGUUGUCCUCUGCCACAAGUUUGUGAUGUUUAAAGAACUAAUCAGUGGAAAUUUUGACCUAAUCUUAGUUAAACAAGUGGGUUAUCUCGAUGACAAACAAAACAUUUAAGUCUUCCAAGUGCAGACUCAGAUCAAAACCGACAAAGUAAGCUAUUAAGAAUGACAAACACAAAUAGAGAAAUGGUCCCCAAAUAAACCGAGUUAUUGUCAGCUUGUCAAAAGCCAACUUUUUACUCGAGAUCAUAAUUAACCACAAGUAAUCAUUUUACUAACAGAAACUUGCUUUCUAAAAUCUCAAGUUCGAGAGAUCUUACAAGUUGCAAACAUGUUGAAAUGAUAACCUCUAAAAUGGUACCUAAGAAUCAUAUAAACACGUGAAAUAAAUUGUUAACGUUGAAUAAAAGCAGAGCUUUUGAUGCGAAUUAAUGGAUGAUCACCAAAAAGAUGUGAACAUAAUUUAAAACCAAGGAGUGAGAUAAUUGAUUAAUCACCAGAUGUAAUGAGGCAAACACCAAAACCCAACCAUCAUGUCAAAACCUAGUUGUAAACAAGAAUGGAUCAUCAUGAUACAUGGAUCAAGCAAGAGACCGUUUCACAAUCUAUUUGAAACAAGACUUUAGACGACUAAUAAUCUUAGCAAAGAGCAUCAAACAAGAAGAUUCUCCAUCGAACCUAAUUUCUGAGUGCAAAAGAUUCAUCCAAAUUCCAAAGGUCUCUUUACUUGGUGAAACUAAUGAUCAUAUAUAAUUUUGUGGCGAUGCAGCCAUCACAGUUAUAUUCAAGAUUACAAACACACAAAGAAGAUACAUAAGAGAUAAAGAGAGAGAACACGCUCAUAAUUACUUGAGAAAAUCAAAAAUCAAUAUAAAGAAGAAAAAAGCAAAAAGCUCAAGAAAUAAAAACAAGGUAAAAUAAAAUUACAGAAAUUAAAAAGGUGAAAAUGAAUCACCACCAACCAUAGACGACCUGUGUGUACCUCUGCUUAAGCCAUCUGAAACUGUUUCUAAAAGAGCCUUUGACUUUACCUUCAACACCAUACAUCUUAUAACUCGCGACCCGUUUCUUCCUCUGGAGCUCCGGGUCCGUUAUCCCCCACGACUUGGAUCUUGCUAUCGAUUUCUCCUUUUUCACAUCGUAUAUAUUGUUGUCCCUCGUCCCGUACGAUGCGCUAUAGCUCCUGAAAUCACCGGUUCCCGAAGCGCCGCCGUGGUAAGGCUGGAUCUGCAUCCCUCCGUCUCCGUAUGGUCGUUGACGGCCGAAGUCUUCCAUGGAUUCCGGCAAGUUUGAUCGAGAGAAUCUUUUUUUUUGUUAUUACAGCUCAGAGAAUAAUUGGAGAGAAAAGAGGAGAAUAAUAGUAACGCAAAAAAGGACGUGUCUUUUGAGCUGGUCUCAAUUUGUUGCUCCACGCUAUAUGAAUUAUUUUAUUUAUUUCUGUAAUUUAAAAAAAUAUUUUUUAAAAAGGCAAUUGGAGAUAAGAAAAAAGCAAAAAGAAAACCUGUUACAGAUAUUAAAACGCUAAUGCGUUUGGAAAAUUUAAUAAUUAAGAAACAGAAGAUAAUAAAAUUAAGAUUAAUACGUUUUUUACACAUAAGGGAAUUAUGAAAAUUUACUUGUGUGUGAAAUUUCAGACAAAAUUAAGAAUCAUGGAAAUAAAUAUGAAGUAGUAGAAAUUUGUUUUGUGUGCGUAAUUGACUGUUGACCGUUGAUGUGAUUUAGCGGUCAAUGGGCCAAGUUGUGUGUGAUAAUGUUAACGAAUCCAAAAUUAAUUGAUAGGCGUCAUGUUUGUAUUCACACAUUUUGCUGGGAACAGUAGUAUAACUGUAUAAGACCAUAUAUGGCAUAUUCUGUAUUACACUACACAACUUUAAUCAAUGUCUUCAUUUUCCACGAGCUAUCAUUUUCCCACAUGAAAAAGUAGUUGAUAUUUUCUAAAAUUUAAAUAUCAGAAAUUAAGUUGAUAAAUUAAUUUUUCUUUUUUAAAAAAAACGAAAUAUUUAUCAUAGCUUAAGGUCCAAAACCAAAAACUGAAAAAAGUAAAGGUUACAUGUGGCAAUAUUAAGGGAAAGAGAGAAUUAUGGGUCUGACUGGUAGAAUGAGAGUAGAAUGAGAGAAGAAAUAUUUCUCUUCUAAUACCUACCAUUUUAAUUUUUUGUUCUCAAAGAAAGUUUUUUUUUUUCAGCAGAAAACUUUCUUCUACGUAAUAUUAGCACAAAAUUUUUAUAUGUGUAACAUGCAAAUUGAAAUUUUUAUAUGUGUAACAUGCAAAUUGAAAUUUUUAAGACAUCUGGAUGCAGCGAAUGGUUUCUUAGGCCUUUUACUAAGCCCAAGCCCACAGGCUCCUUAACAUGUCCGGUUGACUACUUAACCGGGAAUAUGGAUAUGCCAUAUACCGAAAAUUUAACCUUAACCAAAUCGAUUUGAAAUCUUAAAAAGAGAAGGAUAAAAUGAUGAGAUGACCACUUGACCAGCGUGGUUCUGAUGUCGGUCUCGGCCACUUGCGAUGUGGGGUUGGGCGGCAUAUUCGUUCUCACCACGUGUCUCCUCAGGGGCUCUCCACGUGAUUCCCACGCCGAAAGUGGAAAGAAAUACAGGGUUUGAGUAUCAGAGAAGAAUCUUAAUAGUAAUAUUAAACUAUAUUGUUCUGUGGUCACUUAUAUAUUCCUUUUUGAUUUGAUUAAACAAUAGCAUUGAUUGGUGACAAAACGAAAAGCAGUACAAAGCUGUACACAAAAAUUGUUACCACUCAAAAUAACUUUAUGAAAAAUGGUACACAAUAACAACAGUUUUUUUGGACAAAAACAAAACAAAUUAAAACAGUUACGGUUAAGGUUCAAUACGAUUACGGUUAAAUACGGUUACAAUUACAACAUUUAUGGUUAAAUAUGGUUACUGUUAUUUGAUGACUACAAGUUUACAAUACGGUUAAUAUCGGAGGCGAAAUCUUACGACAAAUUUUCAUCAUUUCGAGCAGUAUAACAUUACAACAUAUUUAUUUGAGAAAAAGACCAUUUUUUAUAAAGUAGAUUUUUUCAUAUGCGCUUUCACAUAAAAAGAAUAGAUUUUUUCAUAUGCGGUAUCAUUUACUUUUUUGAAAAUCUUAGUCUGAACAUUCGAUAUUUGUUUUUGCAUUAUAUGGAGUUACAAUUAUAUUUUUAAAGUUUUAACUAUGCGGUUAAUAGUACGGUUAACCAUGCGGUUAAAUAACGGUUUUGAUAUGUUUACGGUUAAUUAACGGCUACGGUUAAUAUAUAUUUUAACCGUAACUAAUUAUUUUUAACGGUUAACGGUUACGGUUUUUAACCGUUUUAUACGGUUACGGUUGAUAAACGGUCUGGUUACGGUCCGAAAUACGGUUACGGUUAGCUUUUGGUCAUGUCUACAAUCUUCAACUAGGCAUGACCAAAAGCUAAUUGUAACCGUAUUUUGGAUCGUAACCGGACCGUUUCUCAACCGUAACUGUAUAAAACGGUUCAAAACCAUAACCAUUCACCGUAAAACUAGAUUAGUUACGGUUAAAAAAAAUAUACUAACCGUCACCAUUAAUAUACCGGAAACGUAUCAAAACUGUUAUUUAACCGUACGAUUAACCGUAUUAUUAACCGCAUAAUUAAACUUUAAAAAUAUAGUUGUAACUAUGUAAUUUUUUUUUCUAAACUCUGAAUAUUAUUUAUUAUUUGUAUCGUUAUGAUGUUUCCAAUCAGAGUUAAUUUUAAAAAAUUGUUCUGUAUUGUUUUUUUGUACAGCUUUCGUGUUUUUUUUCUUUUGUACAGCUUCGCACUAUUCCCUAACAGCUAACAACUCCAGCUAACCGCUCCAGCUAACAGCUAACAGCUUGUUACCAAUCAGACCCAAUGCUAAAUACACAUAUGUGAUUCUGCCUUCUGAAUCUCUAACGCCAACACCAAAGCAAUAUUGAUUAAUAUAUCUCUUUGAUUAGGAUUUUAAAACAUGUACAGACCAGAGAGAGAGCCUAACCAUGUUCUGAUUGCUAAUCCAAAGAAAUUAUGGACUUUAGUUUGGAACUUUUUGAUGAUAGGAAAGAAAAAAGAAACAUAUUAACUUUCACUGCAGUAAUUAAGAACCUGGCUUCUAGAAUUGGAUUUCGAUACAAGUUUUGAUUUUUGUAGUCAACGAAACUAUUGUGCUUUCCAAGCUCAUUCCAACUUCUUUAUAAGUAUGAUAUUGUCCGUUUUAGGCAUACAUGCUCAAGCUCGCACGGAUUUGUUAUUGGACUUCUUCUCAAAAUACCUCAAACUAAUUAGAGUUGGACUUUACUUAGAAACUUCUUUUCUAAACUUCUGAUUUGAGACGUUGGUUUGUAACUUUGUACCAACAGAAACAUUGAUGAAUACAUGACUAGUUUAUUUAUUUAGUAAUCAAUGGUAAAACGGAUAGUCUUUGAUUAAGCCGAUGAAGUUUAACCAUCUUCUAACUUUAAAACGGAUAGUCUUUAAAACGGAUAGUCUUUAAAACGGAUAGUCUUACAAUUACUUAGUUUAAUUUGUAUAAAUACGUUAUUAGGUCUAAAUGCAUUUUAGUUUAACCAUCUUCUAACUUUUGUUUCUUCUUUUUCCUUUUGUUGAGGCGUCAACUUCAAGCAACACCGAAUCCAUAAUGGAUCCAAAUUAGAAGUCAAAGUGAAUAUGUCCCACAACAUUUGAUUCCCUUAUCGUUGAAUGAUAUACCAUCAAUUUUGGAGAUGAUAUAAAUAUAUUUGUUUAGAAUAUUGAAUUAAGUUCAAAAAUACUAUUUAUAAAAAAUAUUGUUUACAUAUAUGAUAUAACGUGAUUCGGUAUGAAAUUUACAUACGCAUAUUUUAAUUUUUAGAAUUUCUAUAAUGUAUUAACUUUCCUUUUAUAUAUAUAUUUAUAUAUAUAUAUAAGUAAAUAACAAAACAACAAAAAAAGAAAAAAUAUAUAUAUAUACCAACGGUGCGUUGGGUUAGUGGGUUAGUAGUUUAAAUGCAGGGGUUGGAUCCAUGUGCUCUCUCAUUCGAUUCCCGGUAGGAAGAAUAUUUUACGCCAUGUUAUAAGGUAUUAGCAAAAGCUGGUCCUCGACCAUAGAGGAGAGAGAUGAUUAAGGCCUAGAUCUAAACCGUCACCUAAUUAAAAAAAAAAAAACAAAAAAAUAAUAAUUAUGAUUUAUGAUGCAAUUGUGUGUGCUUUGCUUAAAAAGGAAAGUUGUCAAGGAAGGAUAACGUAUGCGCACUUCCAUAUUCGGAAUUAUCAGCUAAAAUUUAUAGUUUAAUAUAUAUAUAUAUCCUUCUUCUACUCUGACAGAAAAUAACUAAUUUUCUUCUACUCUGAUUGAACGCACCACCAAUGCUGCACUGCACCAGGUGUCAUCAUCAUUACAUAUUCGCAUUCUCGGUAGAUCUAAUCACCGUUUUUUUUUUUUUUUUUUUCAAAUGGAAACUUUGAAAUAAAGUAACAAUAAUGAUGUGGCUUGUUCCAAAUGGAACAUUCUUUUUUUUGGUAACCCAGGUAUCCCAUGUUUGCCGACAGGGCAGGGAUACACGUGUUAGACUAUCGGUUUGCAUCAGACUAGCCACGUGGUUGGCCAAAUGGCGCUCCACGUGUUGGCUCCUAGAACGCUGCAGCCCAUAUGUAAAUAUUGCAGUGGCCGAGGCUCGAACUCGUGAUGGCGGGUACCUCAGCUGAGGGUCCUUUACCACCAGAGCUAGAGGCUCCGGUUCUUAUAGUUUUCUUUGUCAUUAUGUAUUCUACUAAUUCUAAUUUCGGAUGGUAAUAUAUAAAGAUGAUACUAGCUAGUGAUGUUAAAAAAAAAGAAAAAGAAUAAAAGAUGAUACUUGUAGUAUAAAUUAUUAGGGUAUAUGUUAAGUAGAAAGAUUUUUGUAGUUAUAUUAUAAUUUGUGGUGGUAAUAGGACGAAUUUAAUUUAAGAUGUAAGAAAUCAUAUUCCCUCUGUUCCUGAAAGUUUGAUGUUCUAGUGUUUUAGGUUUGUUUCACAAAUAUUGAUUUUCUAGCUUUUUUAUUUUAUUUUUUAUUAAUUGAUAUUAACAAAUCGUAGAUUUCAAGGCGUAAUAAUUACAAAUAAUUAACUGUUUUAGAUUACUAUUUGUUCAUACAUUAUUAAAAAUAUUUAAUAAAAAAAAAAUUAUUAAAUGAUUAAAUCAUGAUUGUUUCUUAAUAUAUAUGUAAAUUCUAAAACAUCAAAUUUUCAGGAACAGAGGAAGUAUAAUUUAUAAAAUGUUUUUCGGAAAGCAUGCAUGCUUUAAGAUGCUUUAGCGCCGUAUUGGAUAUUGGGGUGUGGCUGAACUUUUUCAUGAUGAGUCUCUGGUGAUUUGUAAUUGGUCGGUCCAAUUUUUUGUUCCACUAAUGGUUAUGCUUUCUUCCUGAAUUCUCAAAUUACUCUAUAUCUAUAUGUUUUUAAAUAUGAGAAUAAAACAUCAUCCGAUGUUUGUUCGACAAACUUCAUCCAUAUGUUAUUCCAAAGUUUUUGGAUCAUUAGUUAUAUAUAUGCAUUGUUAGUUGAUACGUUGUUCACAUUAACAUUUGUUCAUUUUGGGAUAUUCCGUAAGUAACUUGCCACCAAGAGCCAAUUUUUAAUCCUAUGAUUGUGUAUACAAGGAAUAAGGUUUAUGUAUAAUGAAUAUAAUAGAUAUUAUAUAUAUUAAGAGUAAAAUGCUGAUUAGAUAUCUCAUAUCUGUGUAAAUAAACGUGCAACACAGAUAAAAAGACGAUACUAUUUGACGAUUUAUUUUGUGAUUCGAAUUACCAAAUUAUGUUUGACAAAAACAUUAUUAUUAGCAAAAACAGACGACGCCUACGAAAAUCAAGUAGUAAAUCAAUCAGCAUUUUAGUUGAUAGUUGUUUAGACCAAACAAAACAAAAGAAAAAAAACAAGUAGAAAGUUGCAGUUAUUCACGUGGUUACAAAAUGGAACAAUCUUUAUCAAUAAUUCAUGAGGGAGAUUUGAGUUUAUCUCUUUAUCAUUUUUUUUAAUCCCAAUACUCUCUCCCCAUUUGGCUAUAAAAAGCCCCGACAGGUCUCAGUUUCUUCCCACAUCCAAAGAUAGAAAGAUGUAAGGUCUAGUUAGUCUUGUUCUUAAUCUUCAAAUAGAACAAUGAUAUAUAUAAAUAUAUGUCUAUGCAUCGGUUGUGGAGGACUAGCUACGGUUUCGAGCCUGGUCACAUGCGUAGAGUGUGAAAGGUAAGAGGAGGUGACAGAAGAGAGUGAGCACACAUGGUGGUUUCUUGCAUGCUUUUUUUUAAUUAGGGCUUCAUGCUUGAAGCUAUGUGUGCUUACUCUCUCUCUGUCACCCCUUCUCUCUCUCUUUUCAAAUUACAAGGUUAAUUAUAACUGGUAAAAGGUCUCUGGUUUUGUUUGAUAUAUUUGAGGUUUUAGUUAUAUUAUCAUCAAACGGAUCAAAGUAGUUUGAGGGUAUGAGUAGUAUGCAACUUUUGUUAUAAUGUUAUUUCGUUACAUCUAAAAGAUAUAAUACUAUGUUUUUAUAUCAAAUAUUUUGUUCUGAAUUGUAAACGUCAAGUCGGUAGUAUUUGGGAAAAAGUAAUUAAUAAACGUACGAUGGAGCAAAAAAAAAAAUCAUUGUGUUUAUUGGUUUCAAACAUAAUUAAAAAUAGCUACUAUGUGUCUCCUAUAAGCAUAGAUAUUAUUUAUUUAAAAUUGAUGACUAUUUUUUAACCUCCUAAGAACAAACAUGUUCAUUUUUUUAUUCAAGAUGUUGGAGUACUUAUGUUAAUCUCUAUGCAGUUACACGUAUGAAUCUGCCUAUCAUAUAAUUAGAUUUAUAAGAAUUUGGCUACCAGUGUACCUUUGGUGUACUUUUGUGUGACAAAUAUUUUGUCAUUGCAGAUUUGAAACCCUAAACUUUGAUACGUUUGAGAGGAGUUUGUUCUAAGUAUGAUAUUUGGUUGAAGUGUUUAUACAAAUGAAUCUUUUACCCGAUUUCUUUUCCAAAAUCACAAAUACAAUUUUUUUAUUUGAGGAGCAAAGGAAGCCGACAUUGACGACGGUUGAAAUUAGGUUUAGACGGAAAAAAAAAACGCUUCUUCUAGAUCUUUGUAUGUACGAGUUCAUGCAGAUGUGACCGCUUACGGAAGUUUGUAGAUGGAGACAACAUUUGUGGAUGACGGAAGUUCAAAUAUAUAAGAAAGACGGAUUUUGCAUAUAUAAACGUGAUGGACAUGUAUUAUGUUGUAAAAGAGAUGGAUGCUAAAAUCUGUUCAUAUACGUUUAUGUUAAUUAUUUAUAAUAUUAUAAAAUAUUUACUUCAAUUUUCCUUCAAAACUAUUAUCCAAAAAAAGUCUUCAAUAAUUAUAUUGACUUGAGUCACAAAAUAAACCAGUUUUAACGUUGAACAUAAUUUAUGAAAAUUGUGACUAAAAUACCAGUGUGGUAUAACUCUGAAGCUGCCCUCUCCUCCUUGCAAAUUGUAGACGAAAUCCAAAGACGUUUCGCCAACUUUCUCAACAAUUCAAAAAAAAAAAACUCAAAUCGCAAAAUUGCUUGUUUUAGAUGUAUUCGUAAUGUAUACUCAUCCACACAAUAAAGAGUUAACAAUUACGACAAAAAGAAUAGGACUGGCCGACUGUGUGAGAUGAGGAUCUUGUGUGACCAAAUCAAUUGAAAAUUUCUUGCUAGAAUGGCUCCAAAUCGGACUUUCAUAUUUUCAUCAGUAGCAAAAAAAUGGAUAAAGUCUUAAUCCCAUAAAAUUUAUACCAAAAUGCAUUGAUACUCUUCACUCACUUUUAAUGCUUUUGUUGUCUCUCUCUAUAUAUAUGUGUAUUAGCAUAUCAUUCUUACAACAGAAGCCAAAUUUAUGGAAAAAAAAACCUCAUGAAAAAACCUCUUAAGAUUCAGGUGUUGUCUCAGGAGUCUGCAAAGGAAUAGGACUGUUAUCUUCUUUCUCGUUCGGACUCUCAGCCUGUUUUUCUUCAGGUUGGGAGGCUACACCAUUUUCUGAUGCAUCCUUUGUGUCGGUGCUGAUGACUUUCGGAGAUUUGUUGGAUGGUUCUUGAGAGGACGAUGCAGCUAAGAUGCGACCCAGACCUUCGUAUGGGCUCUUGGCAUCCAUAACGAUUGUGGCACCACCUGGAUAACAUCGGCCAAAGCAUGUGGCGCAAUGUGGAAAAACCACCUGUAAGAACAAGGAACCAAAGAGAAAAAAGGGAAAUAUGAGUCAGGACAUAGAGGUGUUCAAUCUGGAAACUGUGGCUUGUUGAUACAAAACUGAGAUGAGAAUGAGAUGAGAUUCAAAACUGGACCUCGACAAAAGCUCGGCAAAGUGAGAGGAAGAGAUUGGAUUCACUGAGUCGAAGCAUCCGAGUUGUAUUGUAUCUUAGUAAGGAGUCAGACACGGCCUGGAGUCCUUUGAUCAGUUCAUGAGCAACAACAUUCUUUAGACUUAGUGGGGCACAAGGACGUAAUUCGUUCAAAGCAGCAGAUACACCUGUGGAAAUGGCCGGGAUUAUCAAUCCAAAUCAGACUGUGAAAAAACAUCCAUAAGAGAUACAAUUUUCAUUUUGCAACAUUUGACAUAGUUAGGAGUUAGGACACUCAUUUUUUGGUUAUAUCAUCCAUACUAUUAAAAAUUGAUACUUAAUAAUUAUCUCACCGUUUAUGAAAACUGCAAGUGGCGGGUGCUCCAUCAAGUAUGAUGGAGGUGUGACAUCAUCCUUGCUAUCUUCAUUAAUACCACUUGAAGGGAAGCCAACAGAUGGUAAUGGAACCCAUCGAUGUGAAUCCAAAACUAACUGGACGUAAAACAUUAUGAAGAAUUCAAAAGAGCAAUUCAAGAGUGCGACAUGUGGUUAAAUGGAAACCAAACAUUGUCUGAGUUGAGCUCCAUGCCAGAACAAACGUUCAAAUUUUGUAUUUACUCACCUGGAAAUUCUCAACUGCUGUACUCAUGUUCUUGGAGAAUAAGUUUAGAACCGCCCUGUAGAAAGUAUGCGAGUUAGAUGUUGAACUUGUACAGAAAUUAGCAAAGAUUAUGACAGCAAUUAAAAUUAGAUUGAAAGAAUUGUUACUCUUCAAAAAGUGGAGGAAGCAAACCCCGGAAAUCUAGCCCAACCCAACCAAGCCCCAUCGCACAGUACUGAGUGGACAAGAGAAGGAAGGUAAGAUGUCAAUCAUCAGAGUUGAACAGUGAAUUCAAAGGGGAAUACAUGAGAUGCAGAAGAACUCAACCAUGCACUGAUCCAAAAUAUUUGAUAGAGAUCCUCCUUCAGUAAUCUUCGGAAGCAUGAUUUUCAGAGUCUUCAGGUGUGAUGUUAUUUGAUGCAUGGCCCAGCUAAACAGAAGUCCACCAUCAUAAUUUUCUUCGCUCCCCGAUGUAUCAUCAGCAAAUAUAGCUCGAUAUUGGUUAACCACGUCAAAUAGGUGCAUUCUGUGACAGUUUAUCAUCCCUUUUAAAUACUCAUAGGCAUUUUUCUGGUCUAAAUCCUCAAGAAUUCCAGUGAGCCACGCCUCUCGGCAUCUUAAGAACUGCACAGACAAGAAGAUCCAUUCAUAAGUGAAGGCAGAGACCAUAGAAAAAGGAAUACAUGUAAUGGAGGAUAACUUCAAAUGGUUAUAUGUCAAAAUAGUUCACCUGUAAUCGCAUUUCAUACUCGCCAAAGACACCUAUUCGGCGUAAGUAUCCAAUAAUGCGGAGACAUUCUGGCAACUGAAAUAUAGAGCAUCAACCAGAUACUGAGCCUUCUAGAUUGCUAAGCUUAACCAUUCCAUAGUUUACUGAAUACAAAAAACAAAAACUGUAUUCACAUGAAACCUGUAUAUUUGAGCGUAGUUUCUGGAGAAGCUGUGAGAGAAGUGACUGAGUUGUUUGUCUAACCUCCGCUGCAAGUGCUUGGAUAACUGGCAAUCUUGACAUACAGAGAAGAUAUAAUUGUUAGAGCUAAAGCUUGAUGGUUGAGGCCUUAAGUAGUCAAAGGAAAAGUAUCGUGAGAAAGAUAACAAAAACAACUCACUUGGGAUGCAUGGUAGCAAGUUUCGAUACAAAUGCUUCCAGGUCAAGAGCCUCAUCAAAAUUUCCAUUCCUCACGCAUCUGAAGAAGAUACAAAUCAUUUUAAAAAGAACUGUACACAUCUAAAAGUUGCUUGCUAACGCCAGGAAUAAGAUCCACUUUUCUUUUCUCUCAUGCAAGGCAUAAAAUAGCUUACGUGUCCAUAAGCUGAGGAAUCUCAAGCAAGUCAAGAAGAGUGCUGUGAUUUGCCAGCAAAGAUUGGUUCAUCUUCCUCUUCUCCAGAAUAUUCUCAGCAGAAUCGAUAAAUUCUGUGCAACCGGACGUUAAUUUUGGGACUUCGCCAAUCUACAAAAGGUGAAAAGAACAGAACUCCGACAUCAAAAUUUGAAAGAAAAAAAAACAUCUCCAAAGAUGCAACUGCUAAAGUCAGAGGAUGCUUUAUAUAGAUGUGCAAUAACCAAUCUUGUUUACUGAAAACAAGGAAGCUCAAGCUACAUUCCUAAUUCAAUGAUUCAUUCACCUAUCCUCAAGACGUUAGGUAUCUCCUAGACUACAACACAUCAAGAUCAAUCACCCAAGUUUUGCAUACACUGAGUCUACAAAACUGCAAGACCUGAAACAACAUGGUUCUGCAACUAGACUAGACUUUCUAAUUUCCUAACUCUAAAACUAUUAAAUGCUCCAAACACGAUGCCGCGUACUCUUCCAACCUUAACUAGUUUCAGAUCUUAGCAAUGAUACUUGCACUGUGACUAAUCGUAACUUUUAUCGGCCAGGGUUCAGAAGUAGAACUGAAUUGACAAAUGGAAGGAAACCAGAGUAUAAUUUUUACCAGAGACUCGAGAUGCUUAUCAAUGGAAGAAACUUCCUGACGGAUCGCAAGCAAAGCAUCAGCAGCGGUGAUAAACGCGCGGUAAUUUCCAACAGCCACCUCUUGCAUUUGCCUCUGAAUCCUCUCCGCAUCCACUCGAAGCAGCUCCGGUUCCUUCAAAUUCAGUAACCGAUAUAAGAUUCACAAUAACCCAUGCGCGCAGAGAUGUCAAGAGAAAGAGAUAGAGAGAGAGAGAGAAACCUUGUGGAGACGAUCGAGAGUGAAAGAGAGGAGCUCGGAGACGUACGGUUGCUGAGUGGCGGAAGCGAGAGAGAGAAGACUCGCCGUCGCCUCCGGCGGAGACAUCUCCCCAACCUCCGUUGCCAUUCCCGGAUCUUACUCUUGUAGCCGAUGCUAUCAAAAUCUCCUCAAUGGAAGUAUACAACAACAGAUCCAGAAACUCACGAUUUUUUUCAAAUAAUUAACAUCAAAUGUUGUUUCUGUGAUUUGUUUUCAUGUCUUUGGAUCUGAAAUUUCUCUUCCGAUUUUAUUUUCUCUUCGAAUUAAGGAGUAAACCAAGUUGAUUUUAACCGAAAUUCGGCUCUAUAAGACUUCGGUUCGGUUAGGAAAAUAAACCAACGUACCCGGAAAAAUGAUUAUUGUCAUGCAUUUCACUUUUUUUUUUUUACAUUGUUUUUACUUGUCUUACAUAUAAAUUGCAUUAGCUUAAUUAAGGGUUUGCCCAAAAAAAAAAAGAUUAGAGUAAGGGUAGGUUUUGGUUAUGGUUAACUUGGACAAAAUCAGCUAGCUUAACUCGUUUUCACAUGCCUGAAUACUUUGACGUUCGAUGUGCAUUGAUGAAAAAGUAAUCUUAUACUAUUACACAAAAAAAAAUACACUACAGUAUAUAUUAGUCGUAUUAUAUAAUAAUAGAGGAGUCUUUUACACUAACGAACCGUUAAGAAAAAUAGAUAGAGUAGAUACAACAAGAGCAAUCAAAAAAGAAGAAGAAAGGAGAGGAAUUGAAUUUGAUGCCGUGUAGAAGUAGAAAUAAGGAAAUGGGUAAGGAGGCUGCUGCUGCCCUUGUGACUGUCCCUUUGGCGAUGGUGGUGGCGAUGGUGGUGAUGGUGGAGGUGAACCUUUUCCAUCGGGAGAUAGUGGUGGAGGAGGUGGUGUGGACUCAAAAUAGUAAAACCGUGGUGGUGGUGGAUGGAUGACGGUAAUUAAUGGCGGUGGUGAACCUGACUGUGAAAGCGGUGGUGGAGAGUGUUUGUGUGGCGGUGGAGGCGGUGGCGAAGAGGAUAACGGCAAUGAGGGAGACUGAGGUGGUGGUGUGGAGGGAGAGGGUUUAUUAGAAGGCGGAGGAGAGCAAAUGGUGGGACACGUGGAACAUUCGCUGAUGCAAAGUGGAGUGAGGACAUCUGUUUGAUCGGACGGUGAUGAUGCAACUACUAUGACCAUGACCAAUGCAAUGAUGAUGACGAUGAGGCCCAUGAUGAUGAUCUAACUAUUGGUGUUUGGAGUGGAAUGUUCAUUGCUUUAGUUAGUUGGUUGGACAUUUAUAAAAUAUCUUGAUGGCUUGAUACAAAGAUGCUUUCUUGAUGGAUUGUGUUUUGCUGGAAAGUUAAUUUUAGAAUUGCGAAUAUCAAAAAGACAAUGUUAAGCUUUAGAUGUUUUUAUUUAUCUUAGGGUAAAGAUGCAAACAUAGCUUUUUCAACAUUUUGAUAAAUGACUUAUGAUAUUCCUUUCUCAACUCAUACUCAAAAAUAAUUCAUUUUAUGAAGCAAUACAACUGAUUCUCUAGAACCAAAAAGUGUCACACUCUCCAAAUUUUUGGUGUCAUUGUUCUUUUUAUACUUUGCUUUCAAAGGUGGCUUUGUAUCAAUCCUGUUUUAUAAAGGUCGCCAUUGUAUUGAUUCGUUCAUCUUUUAAUCUUUUCUUAGAUUUUUGUUUCUGUUUUAUAAUUUAUCUGUUCUUUAAUAACCAAGUAGUACUCUUAGUUGUAACCGGGUGAUUUUAUAUGUUAAAGCCCAAAUUAAGUUGAACUCUUUU